rnacentral:lncRNA from 1 species
CCCCACAGCGACAGCUGCGACGGACUUGCCAAUCGUGACCUAUACGGUCAGGGUUCUUAAUUACACCUUCAACAACCCCAACUCCAAGUGCUAUUUCUCCCUGUUUGGUGGCGGCACCUUCAACAUCACCGGGUAUGGGUUUGUGAAGGACUUGGUCGAUACGACACUUCAAGUCAACAUGACGGCUGCUUGGGAAACCGUCUUUUGUGGCUCAGGAUUUUCGAACUCGCCACCGUGCCAGGCUGUCAACUCGUCACGCCUGAAUCUUGUGCCGCUGGCAAGCGACGGCUUCACUGCAUCAUUUGGGCUGACACGCUUCAAGGUGCCUAAUCCUGAAGCCUUUGCCGGUAACAACAGUAUCAGCGGAGUCAACUUGCGGUAUAAGCCGCGGGUAUAUUACACGAGCAACGGCACAUACGCUGCGACUGCGGGCGCUGAGCUCCUCUACUUUUGUGGUGGCCGCACGCCCGCCCUGUCUGGCGUGACGCCGUUAUCUGCACCACCCGACGCUGGUGCAACCCUGUCGCUGACCUGGUACUUAUCGGGAGUUGGCACGCUAAACAACACUAUCACGGCACCGGCUGCCAAGAACGGCGCCAGCAAUGCCACGGUUGAGUUUGAGGUCGGGCCGACGGUGCUGCCCUGCCGCAACCCAGUUGUCACGGAUUUCAACAUCACCAGCACCACCUAUCGCGAGGCGAUUUCCUGCACCAUGCCUGCUUACAUGCCGGCCGCGACGUAUACGCUAUGGCUGUGCAUCCAGCCUUUUGGCUGCGGUCUUUUGCCUGCUUACACUGUACCCCUGACCAUCACUGCUAUGUCUGCAACUACUGGCGGGAGUGCUGGUGGUAUUACCGUGGUCAUUACCGGCAAGGGGUUCGAUACCAACACCACGCUUGUAUCGGUGCGCUUUGGCAACAGCACAUGCAAGGUCAUCAGCAGCACCGCUACAUCGCUGACCUGCGUUACCGGUCCCCUGGACACCAAGCCAGUGAGCCCAGUGACGUGGCCCUUGUCAAUUACGCCCACUGCCGGCACCAACGAGACCACCCUGUCGAGCUUCACUUUCACUUUUGACCCAGCCCUAGAGUCGACAGUGAGCGGCAUUGUCCCGGCGCGCGGCUCCACUGAAGGUGGCACACCCGUCACUAUUACGGGCGCAGACUUCCGUACCGGCGUGAGCACCACUGUCAGCAUUGGCGAUGUCGCUUGCCAGUCGGUUGUGGUCGUCAACAGCACCGCCAUCACCUGCACUACCGGUAAGCCGCCCAACAGCAUCCUUCGAGUUCCGCUGCCGGUGACGGUGCUGCAGCAGGGCCGUGGCUAUGCACGCAGCUCGGCUCAGUACCAGUACAUCGACGUGUGGAGCCGCAACAGCACGUGGGGUGGUGGACCCCUGCCCGGCUACGAGGACUCGGUCGUAAUUCCAGCUGGCGUGACGGUCCUCCUGGAUAUCAGCCCGCCGAAACUUUUCAUCAUUGUCUUGGAAGGCAACCUGGUUUUCGAUGAUACCAAGGACUACAUUAACCUGCAGGCUCACUACAUCAUUGUUAAAGGGGGCAAUUUCACCAUUGGUAGCGCAGAGAAGCCCUACCCCGGCCGCGCCAACAUUACCAUGCAUGGGGCCCCAAAUAGCAGGGAUCUUCCGAUGUAUGGCGCCAAGGCACUGGCCGUGCGGCAAGGCGUCGUCACCUUCUUCGGGCAGCCCAAGAUCCCGCAUUAUACCAAGCUGAACCGGACGGCGGAUCCAGGGGACACCAGCAUUGUCGUCAACGGAGCAAUUAAUUGGCAGGUACGACUAAGGGGGGCUGAAAUAAUUGCAAUUCUCCAAUUCUUACACCAUAAUUGUAAUGGUAAGGAAUCUGUCCUCAGUAUUGAGCAGUACGUAGUCACAUUGCUUUGCUCUAUGUGGGGCUUUCUGAAUAUCAGGCGUUAUGCUUGCGCUAUGGCUUGAUGUACAUAUGCCAAUCCCUCAUGAAAUUCAGGUUGGCGACCGCAUCGUCAUCGCCAGCAGCAGCUUCUACGGGAGUGAGGUGGAUGAGGCAACCAUCACAGCGCUCGACAACAGGACCGUAUCUGGCUGUACCGUCAUUACGCUAGACACGCCACUUCAAUACGUGCACUUGGGAGAGCUGCACAGCGUGCAGGGAACUAAACCCCUGGACAUGCGCGCUGAGGUGGCCGUGCUCACACGUAACAUUUUGCUGCAGGGUGAUUACACCAGCGCCAAGAAUAUGUAUGGCGUGCAGGUCAUGGUUAAUUCGCCCAAAUACCUGCCCCGCGCACUUGUUCGCUUUGACAACAUCGAGAUCACCCAGUCUGGCCAGGCGUUCCGCCUGGGACGCUACUCCAUGCACUGGCACAUGCACGGCGAUGUCGCGUAUCAGUCAUGGUUGCGCGGCUGCGCUAUCCACCACACAUACAACCGUGCCACCACUAUCCACGGCACACAUCGCGCAAUCCUGCAAAAUAAUGUGGCCUACAACACCAUGGGUCACACCUUCUUCCUGGAGGUGAGCUGUGGCCUGGUUAGUUGUCAGGGGAUAGGAUUCUUCUUUCUAUUAUUGCCUUGAAUGGUUUUUUGUGCUUUGCGCUUUUUUUUGCUGUGGCCGGAGUUUUGGUUAGUGAAACGGAGGACGCUAUGUACUGCAGGACGGUAUUGAGUCUGGCAACCUCAUUGAAGGCAACCUGGCCAUUCAUGUCAAAGUAUCAGACGCGCUGCUCAACACCGAUACCACCCCAGCCGCUUUCUGGAUUACCAAUCCAAACAACACAGUGCGCAACAACGUGGCUGCUGGUUCGGCGGCUUAUGGGUAUUGGUAUCGCAUGCUGGUAAGCCCACAGCGUUCACAUGCAUUUGCCGGAGACCUUUCUUGGCUUUCCAGCAAGGGGUAGCCCAGUUUUGCAUUGUCAUAAAUGUUGCUUCUACUGAUACCAUUAUUAUUUGCAUCUCCGCAAGUUCUCCUAAUCACGGAAUCCGUUAUUUGCUACUGUUCAUUUUACAGGAUAAUCCCGAGGGCCCGUCAUACACGACGACCAUCUGCCCCAAGUUUACACCCCUCCUAGAGUUCACCAACAACACCGCCCACUCGAGCAUGUUUUACGGACUGCGUAUCCAUCCAGAGUUCUACCCCCGUAACAUCCCGUGCAACGGGUUUUCUGGAACGUUUGAGCAAGUGCCUGCGGUGUUCAACGGCCUGGUGGCCUAUAAGAACGGCAUGAAGGGCGCCGUCGGCACUCAGGUACGCUGCUCAAUCCAGGAUUGGUGGCUCCCUAUGUCGUUUUUUGCCAUGGACGGCAUUGGCAUGCAUUUUUAUUAUUUGCAUCCAUAACUGCUAAAUAAGGAGCGACGAGGUGUUCCUUAUGCCUGCACGCACUCAUACAGGUUGGCUUGGUGCAGCUUGUCAACGUGAUAACAGGCGAUAACGGUGGUGGGCCCAAGCAGCACGUUGUCAACGGCAAGGACCAUGGUGGCGAUCUUGAAUUGUCAUGGGUGGUCGACGACCGCAGCCGUGUGGGGUUACAGAUCACAGAGAUGGCCGGUAUCGUGAAUGCUACCAUUUACGCGCGCACCAGUGUUGGAAAGCGCGGUAAUGCUGGUCAGUGGCCCUCAUGCCGCCGUGUGGCGGGUAUCAUUACACAGAGUCCCGUCCUAGGCGACUCGAAGCACUCUGCAUUAAUGAGCCUAAUCAACGUAACAUUUGUGGACUUCAAGGGCUGGGAUGACUGCACGCUAUUCUCCAUGUUGGAGGCAUGCGGCAAGUGCAAGACCUUCCAGGGCGGCUCUACCACAUUCACAGCCAACAUCUCUAUCAUCACAUCAGACAACAGCAGCUCCAUGAUGUCAUACUGGAGCUGGGGCCACCAGGGCGUCUACCUUGACACAGACGGCACGUUACUGAACAACAAGUCGCUGCCCGCUUCGCUCUUGCCUAAUGUGGGCACCAACGUAACUCUUGGCCCCGGGGCUACCUGGCAUUCGUCGGUCGAAAGCGAGCUGUUUGAUCCCAACGAAUGCAAGUAUGUGCGGAACACACGCACAAGCAACAACGGAGCAUAUUGCAGCCCCGGCUUGUCGUUCCGCCGCGUGAUGCUUCACGGCCACACCCCCGAGGUAUGUUGAAUGGAAGCACCGCACAACAGGUGCGCUCAAUGUGCAGGUUAGGUUGCACCCUGACAAUAUAAUUUUCCCGCGGGAGCCUGUCGUCACACCUUCCUAUGUGCAUGCGUUGGAGCUCAACCUGGACGAGGGAAGCUUGCCUCAUCACCUUUUCCUGCCUUCAACCCACCUUGCACUUUCCGCCGCCUGCACGCAGUCCAUCAUGUUCAAGGACCUCAUCCUUACUUCGUUGGCCACCAAUCGCACAUCUCUUGUGCACUUCACCAAGUAUAACGAGAACGGUUACCAGUUCACUGUCGCCACUACCCGCGACUAUUGGGUGCAAUGGGACAUGCCUUUCCGUUUCGACCCCGACACAUACCAGUAAGCAGGGCAGGGUGAAAGGAAGCCCGGCAUGGUAGAUUGGGUUGGGCUCUGUGGAUUAUGUGCUGUGUCAGUACGUUGCUUAGACCUUUUGGGGACAGGUUGCUGAGUCACCUGCUGGGAGUUGUACAUGGGGUAACCCGGGUGAAACCCUCCCUUCCAUUGAACCUCGAACCAUGUUUCCAUGGCCAUCUUAAGUCUCGUUGGGUACUGCACGUGAGGUAUCGUACGUGAACAUCUUCCAUCGGCGUAACUAAUUUUUUACGUGGGGUAACAUACCUGAAAACCUUCCUACAUCAAACUGAGAUUUCAUGAGGGUAUCGUACGUGAACAUCUUCCAUCGGCAUAACUAACUGGUUACCCUCCAACCCGAUGACCACCUUUCUCCAGGCUGCACAAGAUGGACUUGAUGAACACGAGUGACUACGUGUACAUUACCACAAAGCACAUUCAGGUCAAGGACCACUUCACAAUCAAUAACAACGACCAGUGGAACAACUUGACCGCGAUGCCGCCUCCCACCAACUCAACCCACGGCAUGUUCUACUACAACAAAACCAAGGCGCCUAAUUCCUGGUGGUGGAGUAACCGCACCUAUAACGACACCAAGUUUACAGUCUUUUUAGAUGGGCGCCUCGACACCACCCUCGACAUGAAGGCAUUCACCUGCCCUAACACAGGCUGCAGCAAUGUACCCGAUGCCGUUGUGGACAUCCGCGACGGCACAUUGUACUGGUCUAACACGAGCACCUGGAACACGAGCGCCGUGAACAACUUCCGCAAACCAGUAGCUGGCGACAAUGUGACCAUUCCGUACGGCUGGGACCUGGUCAUUGACGAGUCACCACCGCCGCUGCUGGCGCUGACCGUUCAGGGCAAUUUACGCUUUGACACCACGCGGGACAUCAACCUGACCGCUACCUAUAUUAUUGUCAUGGGCCAGGGUGUGCUGAGCGCUGGCAGCGCCACGGAGCCGCACCCCGCCAAGGCCACUAUUCGGCUGAACGGUGCUCGCGACACACCCGAUUAUGGCAUUGAUAAUAACCUUAACUUGGGCUCCAAGGUGCUGGCAGCUCUUUCAGGAGGCACAAUCAACCUGUACGGCAAACCGGUAGGUGCAUGAUAGUCACAUUGGUUCGUUGGCUGAACAAGAGCCGCCAUCCACCUGCUGCAUUGUUUGGGGCUUUUCCAGCUGAUAUCCGGCUUACCGCUUCUUCCCUUAGUGCGUGUCAUAACCUUGUGUGCUCUGUGGAUGCAGGCCCGUAAGCGCUGGAUCAAGUUAGGAUCCGCGGCACAGAUUGGCAACAAUGCCAUUAAUGUAUCGGACCCCAACCACGGCUGGAGUGUCGGUGAUAAGAUCCUGAUUACCUCCACCUCGUUUAACUGGAAUCAAAGCGAGUUCCGCAUCAUCACUGGGAUCCGCAACAACGGCUCCCAGCUGCUGCUGGACUCGCCGCUGGCCCACCCCCAUGGGGCGCGGGUCAAAGCUUAUCCCGGCGGCCCCACCGUGGAUAUGCGCGCGGAGGUUGGCCUGGUCUCUUCCAACGUCCUCAUUACUGCGGAUGAUGGCGAGAGUACCCACUCGUAUGAUGGAGAAAUGUUCGGUGCACGCGUAGUGGUUUCGGGCAACUCCACAGGCCGCUUUGACAGUAUGGGUAUGGCUUAUUGCGGCCAGGCUGGCUUUGACGAUCGCGCGUGCAUAUACUUUGACCGCAUGGCGCCAGUUACAGUGCUGCGUACGGACAAUGUCACCAACAUGACAACGCUAUCCGCAAUUCCAAAUCCAUCAUUUGUUAAAGGCAGCGUGCUGCUGUAUGGUAUGGCCUCGAACGUGCUCAUUAAUGGCAAGCCCUCAGUUGCGAACCCAGUCACCCUGGCCGACAACAUCAUGUACGAGGCGUAUGACACACACAGCGUGGAUGUGUAUACGACGUAAGUAGUGUUUGGCUGUAGGAGGGGCCAGGGUCCGAUACCCCAAUUCUCCAAAAGUUCCAAAUGAUGAGGGGAGGCCGGGGAUAUGCUUUGGUAUGCUGGUUGGCUGGGAAAGGAAUAGUAGAAGCAUGACUACAUGCCCUGCUUCCCUUGCAUUACAGGGGCAACAUAAUCCGUGGCAACUUGGUAAUCGGCACAAUCAAGGAUAUGACGGGCAAGAGUCACUUUGAUAUUAUGAUGCCAUCGUCAUUCAGCAUCUUAUACGCAUCUAACUGGGUCACUGACAACGUGGCAGCUGGUUCGGAACGCUACGGCUUUGCGUAUUACGGUUUACCGUGCGGCAACUUCACAAAUGGCUCCUUCCGCAACAACACGGCCCAUUCAUCCCUUGCCGGCCUGUGGUUUCAAGCCAGUCCCGAGGCACUCAUCCAGGGUUGUGCACAGUUGACGAACUUCACCACAUACAUGAACUGGGGUAAGUGCAAGGCUGAGCAUCGGCCAGCUGGUGAGGAAAGGCGAUCAUCAGCGUCCCAGUUUUACUCAAUGUCUAUGAAAUGCCAUAGGAUGCUGCAUGUUGCCACUUUAGGAUGCUGCAUGUUGUCAUUCCUCUUGCCACUUUGCUUGACAGAUUUCGGCAUCAUCUCCACACGUGGCGUUUCGACGGACAUUGUCCUGAAGGACGUCAAUAUCCUGGACAACAAGCACGCGGGCAUCCAUCUAAUGCGUUAUGGUGAAAUGACCGACAAGGGCUGGAUGCGCUGGGACGGUGGCCUCCUUGUUGGCCAGUCGAGCAAUGAUGUCUGCUCUGCCUGCACGAAGCGAAGUGACCCUGGCUGCCACCCCAAAUUGUCCACCCAGUCAUUCAAUCAGUACGACCCCUUCACACCAGCAGUUGGCCUGCAGUCGUCACAGUUUGCACUGGGAUUUGCGGUGGGCCCCGAGAAGAAGCCGUACGACAAGCCUAUGGGCUACUCACUAAUCCAUGUGAGUCAUGGAAAGGUUGGGGCGACAACACUGCGCCUUCCUGUGCUUCACUCGCUAGGAAUAGCUUUGGCAACGGCUUGGCACGGUGUUUCAGUUGUCUCAGGGCCAGACUGUCUGAUGCCUAUGGCUUCUCAGGCAAACCCCUUCACUAACCACGGACCUCAAACCACAGGGCAUGUUCAACAUCAGCGGUAUCACCUUGGCGGACUUUCUGGGCCCCGCGGGCUGCGGAGGCUCACAAAGCGGCACUUAUGCGUUGGCGAACCAGCCUAAGGCGCCAGAAGCUUUCUAUCCGCACUAUUUCUCCAAAAUUAACGUCCAAAACGUCGGCAUCGGGUAAGUCGGAUGGCAAACCGGACUCUAGCGGACUUUGCUUGGCCUGUGGAUUUCGGUAGUUGCAGUAAUUGCAACAGGCAAGCUUACACCCUGAACUAUAGCCCCACCAGCUAUGCACACACGGAACGCAUGGCAACAUCCAUAAGAACGCCGCCUUGGCCCCAUGCCCCCUACCUGCCCUUCACCCAUGACCCAUCUCUCUGCAGGGUGAGCCAGGGAAUGUUUUAUCACACCCCGCCCGACCCUGACUGGCGCAACGAGGCGGACUGUGGAGAGGCGGCCUAUACGCGGCCCGACGGCUCCCAGAUCAUGCUUAACUGUGCCGGUCCGGCACACGCCUACUGGCGGGAUCUGGAUGGCUCACUUACCGGCACCGUCAGCACCACCGCAGGCAUCUUCACGUCCAAACGCGUGUUCCCAAUGGAUCAGGGCUCACCCGUGCUGCCUGGGGCAUGCACAUACUCUGCGUAUCAGGAUUCGUAUCAGUGCGUCGUUAACUCGACCUCAUACAUAGCGGAGACCGGCCUAGAUCCGAGAUACAAGCCUAACCCUGUGCCAGCAGAUGGCAUUUGGGGCGACCCGCAGAUGCUAGUGCUCGAGAGCCGUGACAAAGACACUGAGGACCGCAACUUUGGCCCUGUAUUCUUCAACGUGUCUGGCUCAAUCGACCUGGUGACGGCAGCCAUGGAUCAUGGCUGGUGCUUUGCGUACACAUGUCAGAAGCGGCUGUCAACCUUCUGGACCUACGUGCCAACUGGGCAGACAGUGUACAUCAACUUUACCGGCACACCUUCGCAGAACUUCCGCAUCUGGUUUCCCUACGCAGACCCGGACAAGGAAAUUGUCUUGGUUAUCAAUAUGCUCUACACCCUUAACCGUCGCUUCACCUGGCUGCCGCCUGGUAAUGGCAACACCACGGGCCGAGUGAUGCCAUGGGACAAGCCUAUAAGAAUUGGUGAUGGCACACCUCACGGGUCGUACUUCUGGGACCAAGAUAACACGCUGCUGUAUGUGAAGAUCAAGGGUGGCAUGACGGUUGAGACACGCACUGAGAGCGCUGUGAUGGUGAGUGGGGCCCAGGACAUGCUGUGGGGCAUGCUGGAUCACAGGGUAGCAGGUUGUGUACACCAGGGCUGGCUCUCGCUUUUGCUGGAUUGCACCUGGCUAGGUUGGGUGCUAGGCAGGUAAGUUAUAUCACUUCAUGCAAAUGUAGUCCUCGAGAUUUGCCUGGGUCGGGAGGAUGCAACGGGUACAAUGGGUUUCACUGCUGCAGUGCGGCAGCCAUGGAGCAGCCUGCAGCCUGACUGGUUCUAACGACUGGGUCCGCAAAUGAUGAUGUUAUGUAUCGCAGGUUUCACAGUCUUUCGCUGUAACGAUUGACAACUUCUACGCACAGCAGGCGGUCUUCCUGAAGAACCUCGCAGCUGUAAUGGGUAUUGAUAUGAACCGUCUCUAUGUGGCGAAGAUUGUGGCCGGCUCCGUAAGCGCCACGAUUGGUGUUGAGCCCGAUAAGUCCAUUCCCGUCGACGCGCUGCCGGAGAACUCAGUGUCGGCCGCUGUGGAUCCCACUGACCCUGUCGUCACUAACCCAGCAGCCGCCGCAGUCACCUCCACCACAUCAUCAUCCACAUCACCACCGCCCCCACCACCAUUGACCUCAUCCUCGGCUGUACUUGCCGACUUGACUGCAGCAUACAAUGCUUUUGUAGCAGCGGUCACGGAUCCAAAUGCAAGCAGCAACCUUGGCUUUCAGCCCAUUGGCGUGCCGACAGCAGACUGGAGCAAUGUCGGAGUUGCUGCUUCACCCCCUCCGCCGCUUAUGUCUUCCGGGGCCAAUUCACCGUCGGGUGGUGUCACCCUCAGUCCACCACCACCGCUCAUUUUACCCAACACGGAGGCUGCACCAGCCGGUGGCGGUAGCGGUGGAAGCAGUACUGGUAGCGGUGGAAGCAGUACUGGUAGCGGUGGAAGCAGUAUAGGUAGCGGUGGAAGCAGCAGCAACACUGGAAGCGGGAGCAACAAUAGGGGCUGGGCCCUUAGCUCCGCGGCUGUUGUGGGCAUUGCAGUCGGCAUGGUUGGAGGUUGUAUUUUCGUAGCAGCAGUUGUGGCUGUCAUUGUGGUUCGGCGUCAUGCUAAGCGGCCCCGGCCCGUGUUGCCACGUGGUUCACUGAGUACCGGUGAGGUCAGCAGCUCCAUGUCGCCAGCUCCAGCGGCCGGCCGGCCUGGCAGUGCGAAUACACGCCAGGCCUUCGUGUUGACCAACCCCGCCUAUGAGACGCCUGGAGAGCGUGCCGCAGCUUUACGCGUCAGCCGCACUGCGGUACCCGUGCAGGAGUCGGAGGAGAACCCCACUUCGCCGCGUGCCAGCGUGUUGGCCGCCGGACCAACCCCCCUGAGCCCAGCGCAGUUUAUCGGUCCACUCACCUCCACUGCCCGUAUGCCACAUAGCAGCCUACCGCUUGUUCCACCAGGUGCACAGUCGGGCGCAGUCGACGCUGUGGAAGGGGAGGCCAUGUUGGCCCCGGAUGCAUCUGUCAGUGUGGCAGCCGCUGCCAGUGGCGCCAUCGCGACCACUGCCAGUGGCUCAGUUGGUGGCUCGCGCUCACCAGCACAGCUGACACCUGGCCAGCCAACCACCCGCCGCCCUUCAGACACCACCAUGAAGUAUGCACCGAACAUGGCCACUGGCAGCACUGUCUGGGAUGCGGACAGCGCGGAGAUUGAGCAAUUGCCAGAUCACGAUCAAACCAAGGCCGCCGCCGCCGCUGCUGGUAGCGGACCUGUCAGUCCUAAGGUUGCUGUGGAGGCUGCAGCGACCAGUGUGGGUGCCGGUGCUCCUGCUAGCGGCACGCCUGUUGAGACCUUGAACCGCUCCAUGGGCGUGUCUGAAUCGAUGUCGCCGCGCGUCAAGUCUGUUGGUGGCAGUAACGACAUUCGGGCGGGUGCAGAGCAGAUGUCUGGUAAUGGCGAUGAGGGCAGAAAGCGUGCAGCUGCCAUGGAGCCUCUGGAUCCUCAGCAGCAGAGGCCUGGCAGUGGCCGCCAGACAGAGCAGGCACCAGUCCUGAUGCUGCCGGGCGGUAUGAUGGAAUAUGUGGCCACGGCGUCGCUGCUGCGUAGUGAGGUGGCUUCACUAAUGGUGGCGGGUGGCGAGGCUGGCCCUGCAGUGACAGGUACUGGGGAGUCGGACAGCGCGAACACACCAAAGGCGCGCACGCCUGCUGGCUUGCAAAGCGACAGCAUGCGCCGCCGGGAGCAUUCCUGAAAUUGCUGGGAUGGGCCAAGGAUUUAGGAUGGGACGCCGUCCAUCAUGGACCAGGCUUGGCCAAUACUGGAAUGAGAGUGACGUUCAUACUCAUUUCCAGAUUUAUAACCGUUUUUUGCAUUCGGUUUUUGGCAUUGUGGAAGGCAGGCUCAUGUUAACUGAGUAUAUUGGCUUUGGACCCACGCGGGUCGUCGCCAAUCCGUUGGCGUCCGUUUGGAGUAUAUGCGCUUCGAAGGAGACGUUGCUCGGUUGAUUAGCUCGAUUUAGGAGAGGGAGCUGUCAUGUCUGUGUGUAGUUUCCUAUGUGUCAGAUGCAUAUGUGUCACAUGCGCAUGCGGCGUGACAUGAUGCAUGAUCCUCCAUCGCCGGUCUCGCACACACACGAAGACGAGAGGUCUUAUCUCGACAAUUGCUCAUGGAGAGGAACUGCCCGGAACUGUCUAACUAUUUUACUUUCGUAUUUGCGACGGUUGAGACAUGCUCUCUGCACAUUGGCCAUUGCCAAUCAGGACUCCCAUCAGGAUAGGCGCAAGCAGCAGGUUGCUUCAUGCCGCGGCGGUGCAGUCUUUUCGCCUCAUUGAUGCUGCGUGCAUACAAACGCGAAAUUGGCCUGCCUCCACCUGAGCGGGGAUUCCAACGGAAUGACUUGGGAUAUGGGAUCUGAAUCUUUUUAGCGGGGUCUGUAAGGGUCAGCGGACAUAUUGCAGGAGGUUAUGCCUUGGACAGCAGGUGUUGAUGUUUGUUGUUUAAAGGGGCUGGUAGGGUUAGAUACGUAGCUUUUCUUGUUGCUUGGUCAAGAAGAAAAGCAUGGCAUUGGUUGGACUUUGAUAAUCAUUCAUUUCCAAAAGCUCACAGCAAGGGUGAGUAUUGGAGUGUUGCUUCACUGGGGUAGUACUCUCUGUUCACUGGAUAGUUCGGCGUCCGGAAUCAUAUGCACUUACAGAUCUCCGCUCCCAACGCUGUGUGUUUCCAAGCAACUAGCCCCUCCCGGCACGCAUUGCAUCGCGCUUUAUAUUGCUGCCCGCCUGCACCACUUGCUGGUGCCCUUUCGCUGCUCUUGUAGUGGAUAGGCCUUGCGCCUUUUCCCCGGAGCUCACGCCGCUUUGCUUAGUGUUCACUAUGAGUACGUUACUGAACUAAACAUUUAGUUUAAUCGACCUGCGCACUAUAGCGCGCACACACAGAUCUGGUCCUCGUGAACUUCAAAUGUUGGGCUUGAACAAUUGCUCGUGACGGCAAGCCCGGCAUGUCUGAGGGGCGCCGCUGCGGCUUUGCUGAAGGUACCAACGUUUCUAUUUAUUACACGCUAAGGGUUCCCGCUGCAAUACUGCGGGGCUUGAGCAAUGGCCUCUAUCGGUUUGCUGUGCUUGUUAAGUUUUUUUAUUGGUUGCGACGAAAUGUGCUAUCCGUUCAUGCGUGCGUUUUUGCACAUCCGUUCAUGCUGACAUGUACAUAUGUGUCUUUACGCGUGGUGGCAUCGGCUGAAGAUAGGGUCGCUUGCAAUGGCGACUUCCCAGAUAAUGCUCAUGCAGGUGUUUCGGCCCGCGCCUGGCCCAGCGAAAGCGCCAUAGGCAUGUCACUGCCGGCCAACUAACGACGGCCAAUAUUGUAUGUAAUCCGGUUACCGUCUUGCUUUGUCCGGCCAGUUAACAAACAUGCCGGUGCACCGGUAGUGAGCAUGCUCAGGCUAAUGGCCGGUGCACCGGUAAAUUACGUGUUCAGCUUGCUCCACCGUGCUCAAGGCCUAAUCGAUUAGAGGCAUCGAACAUGCCGGUGCACAUGUAGUGAGCAUGCUCAGGUUAAUGCCUGGUGUGUGUGGUUGUUAUAGUGGGCCCCAGACUCGUGAAGAGUAGAGCCUGAGGCCCAGCACGAUCAGAGCAGUCAAGACACUCGCCCAGACCAGACAACGCAGGCCACCCAGACAACAGAAAGCGAACCCAAAGGGUAAGCUCAGAAGCCCACGAUCACCUAAGUUUGCUAUUGAACUCCCUAGCUAGCGAAAGGCUGCGGACCUCCAUUAGUGUUGUAUCACAUCUUAAGAACCGAUCGGCAGAUGCUAGAUCCCGUGAUACCCAGGAUACUUCAAUUAACCCUCCUCCAGAGUUGAAGGAGUCCUCGACCGUCCGUCUCUUAGGGCACUUGUGUGAUGUCAGUAACCACAGGACACCAGCGGCAGCAGGCCGGAUUGAGAGUCGACCCCAGGUCGGGUUUGGGAUACCGAGUCUCGAUACCAAUUUGUUGUAUCACGUCUUAUCGCAGGAAAAGAACCGAUCGGCGGAUGUUUGAUCCCGUGAUACCCAGAAUACUACAACUAGAAGGCCCACCAAUAAAUAUUGGCAGGUAUUUGCACGUUGUUACUAGAUGAUGUCUUUGCCCCAAAAGCCCCAAAAAUGAAAGGAGCCGAAAUAAGGGAGCGGAUGAGCUAAUGGAUAAUCGUCCAUCGGUGCCCCUCUUGUGAACGAACAAUUAUCCGACACAAUUCGCAAGAGGUGAUGUGACCCUACCUUUUCCAUGGAACUUCCAGAGCUGUAAAACCCCGAAGGCGGGCUCGACGGGCCCCAGAAAGAGGUGAAAGUUGCAUUUUAUUUAAGGUCUCAGAAUUUAAAAGAGGAGUAUUAUGAACGUAAUUGCUAAUUCCUCAGUUACAACGCAGGUUACAACCAUAUUUCUCUUAAAUCCUUCGAGGUGAUUACCUUCGUUUGGGUCUUCAGUAAAUUGUAGCUUAGAUGCGGCAGGAGCAAAGCGAGUAGAGCCUCUAAGCUAGGUUAUGUACGGCAGCCGUAUGGCUUGCUGAGAUUUCGAAUUUACUAUUUCAGCUGACAACUCCAUAGUUCCGGCAUUCUGCCUACACUAUUGGAGCUUAUUAUUGUUGCUCUCACUUCCCUUCCCCCGCCCUUAGUGUCCCUCGUUUACAAGCGGCAGGCUCGGCCCAGUUGGAGACCUGGGAUUAGGCAGCCCCCUCGGAGUGCCAGACGCACAGCUGUACAGUGAUUACCGCACGGCAAAAAAGUGCCUUUAGAGUAUCGCUGUGCGCUAGGAAUGUCGCCUGGCAAGCCCCGCUGGCCAGGAUGUGGUUCGUGUGUUGCUGACACUUCAGGUUUGCCCUCGGGGCGGGUGACCAAUGGACGCAGUUAUUAAUGCUGCGUUUAGUUGUCUAGUGCUGUGUGUCAGUUUUUCGGCCGUGCCGGUGUGGCCGCGCUGGACAGCGCUGCGUGCGCUCAGACCGCGCCAUGUGGCGCUAGACCGCGCUUCGGUGCACAUGCGCCCUGGUGCUCCGAGAGCAGCAGUAGUACUGCAGUAGUGUAAGGCCCUUGGCAGCCCCGGUUUUGCCUCGUCCUGUCCUAUCCGGCACCCUGAACGCAACCGUACAGCAAGCCAUGAAGGCUAUAGGACAUAAUGCUAUAUUAUCACCAAGGUUGAUAUGGGAGCAGUGCAAGGGUUAGUCGUUUUGGAUUCCAGGUACUGGGAGAUGAAGGUGGACAGGGUCGAUGUAGGCGGGACCAUCCAGACACACUCGCCAUCGACUUGGGCCGACAGAAAGGAGCGAGACGGUGAGAAGAAGGGAACGACGUGGGUGUUGAUACCGAAGUCGUCGCAGCAGGCGUCAACGGUGAAGGGGCCAUACUGUGAGUCAAGAUCGAGGAAGACGGUGCAUGAAAGCAUCCAGUCGCUGUCCACCCGGUGCGCUUCCGCCGUGGAGGCUGCUGCAACACGAGCAUGCAUACAACCUACAUGGCGGGCAGGCUUACUGGCGAUCUGGGUUAGGCGCAAAACAUUGAACGGCGGCGGCGGCAGGGUGUCAGACUCGGCUGACCGUUGCACAGCAAAACGCACCGGCAUGCUGUGGCUAACCUGUUCUGCUGGUGGUGGCUUAAAGGCCACGUUAACGGGGAUGGGGAGAGCGGUGGCGGGUUGGGUCAGCGCGGCGGUGCUGGUCAUCAUGGCGAGGGUGGGGGCUGUCUGAACGGGAGGGAAAGGUGUGUCCGCGGUCGUUGUCCUGACAAUGGUGGGUGGAGUUGUCAGUGUGAGCCGGGGAGCGGGAGGGGGAGCGGGAAGGAGAGCGGCUUGCGGUUCGGGAGGUGGUGGAGCGAAAGGGUGAGUGGUCGGUGGGGACGUUGAUGGUGCGGAUGCCCUGCGGUAGCGAAUGUGGUGAGCGGUGAGCGGCAUCACGCUCCAUUGAAAUGGUGCACGCGAGGUCGAUCACAUCCUGUAGUCGUAUGUAGGAACCCAGGUUGCAUAAGCGCGAGAAGAUCUCCUUCCUGAGGUCGUCCUGCAGUCCUCGUGCGAAGAAGAGGACGUGGUCUUUCUCGUGGCGGUACGGCAGGUCGGCCAUAAGGUGUUUGAAUUCCGCAAUGUAACAUUGUAAAGAGUUUGGUCCAGAACCCUGCGCCAAGGCAAACAUAGCAAGCUGCGUUUGAGAGGGUCCCGUGGUGGGGACGGGAGCCAUCAGAGGAUGACGGAGACGAAGAUGAUGAAGACGACGAUGACGAAGACGACGACGAUGUCGAAGAUGAUGAUGACGAAGAUGACCAGCAAAGCAAAGCGAAGCAAAGCGAAGCGAAGCGAUGACGACGAAGACGAAGGCGGAGCGAAGCGUAUAGGCCGGAUCGUCUAGAUCGAUACCAACUGAAAGGGAAUAGGCUCCGUUUCUCGUUGGGAUGUCACAAAUGUUACAACGAGGGCCGAGCGACGUAAGCCUGCUAAUCCUGCACAAGAUGUAAUAACGAUGACAUAACAAUCUAAACAACACAACGAGUUAAAUAGUUAUCCAGAGCCUAGGCGGCGCCGGAAGGUCGUACAUUAUCCAUAUUCCAAAUGCUUGUCCACGAGUAAAGUUAACGACUUAACAACUAACGAGAAAACCUAACAGAUAUAAUAUAAAAUAUAUACUGGUUUCUUCACCAUACAAUAAAUGUAAUGAAAUACCGUACUGCUACGAAUGUUUCGCGCCACACCUUUCGUUUUGGGCCACGAAGUGUGUCACAGUGGAAAAAGCUCUAUGGGGAAAAUUAUUUACUUGUCGCGAAAAUGUCUGGCACGAAUGUGUUGUACGCCGUGUACAUGGUGUAGAAUCGGGGCGUUUGGUAAACCGCACCUGACUUUGGUGCCGCACCAACGGGCCUGUCUUCUGUUCUUCUGCGUAAACAUAUAGUAAACGAUAUGUCCAGCAGUUUGGGAGCUUUGACGCUGUCGCUCCUUGUUGUGGCUUCCCUGGAGCCCCGCGAAAUGUGUGUUCAUGUAAACAAAUGUGUGCCAUAAAAACUGACAGCCCUCGCGAAUUGGUGUAACAAAACGAAAAAUUCCAGCUAUAUUUUUGGGGUACCCGCGAAAGGUGUGGCACGAAACAUUCGUAGCAGUACGGUAUGCUUAGCGCAUAACUAACGUUAGUUUUAGGGUGCAUUUCCAGUGCACGUGGGAUUAGGGCACGGAAGUCCUUGGUACGAGCUUACCACAUAGUUUUGUUCCAUAAGGGAGCCAAAGGUUGAAAAGGCGAGGUAAGUUUGCCAACAACUUAGCCGUUUAAGCAAGUAUCGAUAGAGGACAGAGGGUUAAUCCCUGGCCUUAAUCCGCACUGGAAAUGCACCCUUAAAUAAAGCAUCAGUGGCUCUAAAUGGCAGCUGCUCAAAAAGACAGUAAGUGUUUUGAGGCUCUUAAAACCGCUACGUAUCAAUAAUUAGUUGUUGCUCCAUAGGUAAAUGCCAUUUUCUGUUACAGAAAUGAGACACAGGAAGGCCCGAAGAAGACGGGCCGAAACACAACAGAGAAAGAGACACCGCAACACAACUAACGCGGGCUGCACUAACAAAGGGUGGGAGGGCGGGCGCGUGUUGAACAACAAAAACAAGCCCUAUGGCAUAAACAUGCCGGUUACCGACCGUUUGGGGCCCAUUAACCCAACCGNNNNNNNNNNNNNNNNNNNNNNNNNNNNNNNNNNNNNNNNNNNNNNNNNNGACGAAGAUGAUGAAGACGACGAUGACGAAGACGACGACGAUGUCGAAGAUGAUGAUGACGAAGAUGACCAGCAAAGCAAAGCGAAGCAAAGCGAAGCGAAGCGAUGACGACGAAGACGAAGGCGGAGCGAAGCGUAUAGGCCGGAUCGUCUAGAUCGAUACCAACUGAAAGGGAAUAGGCUCCGUUUCUCGUUGGGAUGUCACAAAUGUUACAACGAGGGCCGAGCGACGUAAGCCUGCUAAUCCUGCACAAGAUGUAAUAACGAUGACAUAACAAUCUAAACAACACAACGAGUUAAAUAGUUAUCCAGAGCCUAGGCGGCGCCGGAAGGUCGUACAUUAUCCAUAUUCCAAAUGCUUGUCCACGAGUAAAGUUAACGACUUAACAACUAACGAGAAAACCUAACAGAUAUAAUAUAAAAUAUAUACUGGUUUCUUCACCAUACAAUAAAUGUAAUGAAAUACCGUACUGCUACGAAUGUUUCGCGCCACACCUUUCGUUUUGGGCCACGAAGUGUGUCACAGUGGAAAAAGCUCUAUGGGGAAAAUUAUUUACUUGUCGCGAAAAUGUCUGGCACGAAUGUGUUGUACGCCGUGUACAUGGUGUAGAAUCGGGGCGUUUGGUAAACCGCACCUGACUUUGGUGCCGCACCAACGGGCCUGUCUUCUGUUCUUCUGCGUAAACAUAUAGUAAACGAUAUGUCCAGCAGUUUGGGAGCUUUGACGCUGUCGCUCCUUGUUGUGGCUUCCCUGGAGCCCCGCGAAAUGUGUGUUCAUGUAAACAAAUGUGUGCCAUAAAAACUGACAGCCCUCGCGAAUUGGUGUAACAAAACGAAAAAUUCCAGCUAUAUUUUUGGGGUACCCGCGAAAGGUGUGGCACGAAACAUUCGNNNNNNNNNNNNNNNNNNNNNNNNNNNNNNNNNNNNNNNNNNNNNNNNNNUCGGCACAAUGUUUUGCCUCAUUGCGAUGUUGCCUGAAAAUUUUGAACAGAAGGGAUCACUGCUCAUGCUGGUGCAGCAAGACAUGUAAGGAGAUGGCCUGGUCACAAUCCAGCAGUCAUAUAUCGACAAUCUCAAGCUAUGACAACUCGUUACAUGUGUCUGUAAUAAAAAAGGGACUUUGCGAUGGUGUGGGGAGCUCUUUGAGUGGUGGGACUGUGGAAAUCCAGUUUGUUUCGCCCGUAACAAGUUUGUUACGGGCGAAACAACGUCCCUCUGAAACGUUUGGAUAUGCCUAUGCAACACAUUUCCUCAAUUUCAUGAACUGCAAGUAUUCUAAUCCAACAUCACCCCAAUCUCAGUGUAAACUAGUCUCCAAAUGUGCCUGCACAAGACUGUCACCCCUGUCACCCGGCAUUCACAUUGCCUUAACCUCCUAAGCUUGUCGGGGUGUGACACGUGGGCAUGAACCUUGUGACAAUGGGCAUUGUCACAAAGAAACUGGUUGCAAUCAGAAAUGCAUUUUUCCUCAUGCCAGGUUACCGACAUCGGUUACCGAUUACUGGGGACGGUUAACGGAUAACGGUUCGCUCGGUAAUCCUACCGACCGGUUACCCAUCUCGUUAACUGGACCCGUUAGGUCGGAACCGGGCCGGAACCGGCCUGGAGUAUGCCAUUGGGAAGAUAAGCUAACCAGCCAAACGCGCGCAUAAAUGACGGCCCUGAGGACACGAGCCGUUGCGAGACAGCUAGACUAACAGUCACGCAUUGGGCCUUACGCCCAACUAACCCAGCUUAAGGCAAGCUCGCAUUAAAAAGCCAAGUCAAAACUUGGAUGAACUGAUUUCAAGGUUGUUUAUACCAUUCAAUAUUUUAUUAUAUUUAUUCAUGCAAUUCAGGAAACAUCAAAAAGGCUACGUAUUUCAAUAAAGUUCUAGUACCGGUUACAAUUAAUGUACAAAAGCAAUUUUUUUAUUGACAACACAAAAUAUAUGAUCAAUAUCUGAUAACCAGCGUAGCAGCAGCAUAAUUAUCUUUUGUCUGGAAUUCUGUAAUACCAUUUUUGACGUUUAAAUAUAUACCAUUUAAAUUAUAGCGGGUUUCUAGUUUUUCCUGGUAAUGAGAUAAAAUAGUGUUUUGGGGGCCCCUCUACUCCAUCGCAAACCUAACCUCGCCACCAGGGUUUGGGUAACAGACUCAGUGGACGCCAUAUAGCAGCUAUGUAUGAUGCAUCAUACAUAGCUGCUCCGAAUUCUGCACUGAGGGGCAACAAAAAACUAGCCGCCUGUCGCCAGUCUGCUGGGAGAGCGCCAAUAGCACUAUACCCUUUGUGCCUUUUGCAAGUGGAAUGAUGAGUAUAGAGAUAUAUGAGCAUUUGAUAGCAACAAGCCUAAGACAUCACAGGCCUGCUGGUUCAUCACCCGGAGAUGCAACUCCAGCGACAAAAUGUGGGCGGGGAAGGUGCUGGGCUUGUACCGCUACAGGUCGCCAUUGAACAGGGAUAAGUUCGAUGUGGUGCUGGAGGUCGAAUGGCAUGCUCCCCUGCUGGGGAACAACAGUGAUGCCGAAGUUGCAGUCAACCAGUUCAUGAAUGUCCCCUUGGUGGACACCAGGGCUGCCAGUGUGUCCAACACAGGCUCUCGUUACUACCUGGCUGAGGAUGUUGCGCCUUGCCGAGUGCACAUCUUGCCACACCCCAGUAAGCGGGCGCCCUGUGUGUUCUUUCAAGAAGCUACAGCUUCAUGCGGGUGGCUGGCUGGGAGGCCCUGCAGCCGCAGACCCCAUGGGCGAGGUCACGGUAGCAGCACAUUAAUAUUAGCGCUGCAAGACCUCUGAAUCCCUUGUGGCUUGCUCUUGAGGGGCAAUCGUUAGUAACACAUUGGUGGAGUGGAGGGCAAAUCGUGGGGACUGGUGGGCAUGGUCGCCCAGGCCCUCGAAUGGUCGGACCGUGGCCUGGGCAGGGCUUCUCAAUGGAGGUACAGCUGAUGGUAUGGCUGAUGGAUAACCGAAUGAAUGUUGUGCACAGGGACGUAUUGUGAAGUAAUAGGUAAUGGGAGUGGCACAUUACUAUGCAAAUCGACAGAAAUUGCUUGGGGCCCGUUCCAUAUGUUGACUGACUAAAUCCUUCGUUGGAUAGUUGAUUGUUGGGGCAUGUCUGCUUCGCUUGUAUACUGGGGCGACUUUCUGGUGCCAGCCAGUACUAGUUUUCGAAGGGCCUUACCCGCGGGUCCAGAGCAGUAGGGGCCCUCAUGGUCGGUCUUGUGGAUGAUUUCAGCACUAUGAACUUAUUUCAGAAUACAGGACUGACUCUCUGUUUCCUGCUUGAACUAUAUAUGGAAGGGGCAAACCACUGUAACUUAAGCUUGUGCGUGUUUCUGCUAAGUUUUCCGCACUGUUGCAUUCUCAAAGCCAUUCUUUCGUAAAACCGUCAUAAGAAUGCUUGAGACUGGCAUAAGAUCAUUCUCAGCAGCACCAGCAUUCUCAAGCCGUUCUUAGCAUUCUUAGCGUUCUCAGGAACAUUCUUUAGCAUGCUUCCAUUUUGGUAGGGUUAGGAAAACCUAAAUUAGUAGGGCCCCAGCGUUUGGGACUAUGGAACUAUAGCAGGCUUUCGGCUACCGUACUGCUAUUGUACAUUCCUGAUAUUCAUUUUGCCAUGAAAAGCCAUGAAACGAUUACACCCUACUUCUAGGCUGCUCAAGCAGACCAAGUUAAUCUUCCGAUUCGUCUAUUUUUGGACUACCAACUUUCGAUACCGUCCCGAAUUGUGAUAACACAACUGCAAAAUCUGCUCGUGGCUGUCCCGAAAUGGCAAUGUCACGUAAAAACUCCAGCCCCAUUUUCAUUGCCACCCUGAAUUGUAAUAUCAGGAAUGUACAAUAGCAGUACGGUAUUGUAGAUUGUAGAACACUCGGAGGCCCUAAACACAGAUCGAAGGCCCUAGCAUCAAGGUGCUUAGUCGUAAGUUACUUUGUUUGCAAAAUUUACAAGCCUCCAAAAAUUCUAUUCCUAAUCCCUUUGUGCCUUUCGUAGGUGGAAUGAUGUCUUUGAGCUAGUGGGGUCCGUGGCUGGAGGCAAUGUCUAGAAAUCCAUAAGACACGACAGGCGCGUCCUGGCCACAUGGCCAAUAUUGGCGCGCCUUGCAAAAAUCUUCGCGCCUAGUAGCCGCUCCGGCAGAAAGCCGGAUUGCCCGCGCGUGACCCACCCAUCCCAUGGUUGGACCAAACCAUUAGCAUUUUUUGCCAAGUUCCUAUAGUCCGUACCUAACAAGGUAAUCGGCCGAUAACUACCUGGCGAAGAUCCCUGGUUUUCAUUGUAACCGUGAUGACCUGCUUAUGAAAGGCGCUACCCGGUCUAUUGCUGAUCGAUGCUAACCAAGGAGCACGGAAGAAAUGAGCGAAUGAGCUGCGCAUGCAACCUGUGCACCGGUAGUGAGCAUGCUCAGCCUGUUUCAAUCGUGCUCUACAUUGUAUCGGGCUCCUCUAACACCGGGGUGUUGCUGCUCGGGGGAGGCAUCACGUCAUAUCGAGCAGACCGAGACUAACCACAGAGAAGAGAAAAGAACGAGCUGAGCAUACAGUUACAAGUUACAGUUACAAGUUCCGCACGCAAGUAUUGUAUUGUAUUGUAUUGUGGUUACAGUCUUUCCGCCGCCGACGCGGCGGGUGCCCUCACGAGCCGUGAGGCUCCAGAGCACGCUGUUGACGCUCAUCAAAAACCUCAGUAAGGAAAGUAGCGAUUUUCCUCGGAUUGGUAUUAAGAAAUACCUUGCGCAUAUCAGUAUCUUCAACGUUAAUCAGAAACCUAUUACGCAACUCAGUAUACGCCUCACACUCCAUAAGCACAUGAUAUUCAUCCUCAACCUUACCCGACGUACAGACCUGACACGUACGGCACUCUCUCGGCCUAUGGUGCCCUUUGUUGACCUCCAAAGGCCAACAACAAAGACGGAAUUUGGCAACCAUACGCAACUGGUUGGUGUCGCUGACGUGCCUCUUGAAUUAACCGAUCAGGUUUGCUAGCUUCGGUAUAGGGAGGAAGGGAAGAGUCUCUGGGUAGUUCAUGAUCGGCAGUCAGACCUAACUCUGAAGGACACCACCCUGCGUGGGGUUCCCAGCUCGAAGUGUCCUAGGUUAGCCUGGAAUGGACUGCCUGGCACGGACAUGAUGAGCUAUGAGGGAUCUUUGUUGAUCAUGGUUGAUCUGCUCUUAUGACGCCGGGCACACGCCAGGAGAAGACGUUCCGCUUGACUCCAGUCUAUGUUGGAUUAUGCCCCCCCCUUGGGGGGAAGAUGUGUAUGUCGGCACUAAGACGGCAAUAAUGCCUAACGGUGUUUGUGUGUGCGAUUUCCCCUUGACCCAUCUAUAUUACACGUUCGUGGGACCGCCCACAGUCACUUCAGGCGGCUCCACGCCGGGUGGUUGGGGCGGGGGGGGGGGGGAAACAAGAGUGAGGCGGUAGGAAUGAGAAAGAGAGGAGAAUGCGCGCAGGGCGCGGGUGGCUGGGGCGGUGAAGCGGGCGGCACAGGAAGGGGAACAGUGGUACAUACUCUAGAUGCUGCACUCGUCGCUGACGUGCGCCCAGCUACCUUGGCUGUGUACGGUGGACGAGCGCUUAGGCUUCAGUUAUGGCAUUUUCAGAAGUACUGGAUACGGUGAAGGUGGUUGCUAAGGUUGUACGGGUCCAAAGUGAGACGAAGGUUGCUUUUGGUGGGAGAGGAAGUGUGGAAGGUAUGUUUUUAUUACAGAGACUUAAGGUGCUUGAUAGAGAUUUGAGGCGUUUAUUUGGCCAGGAUCAGGCCCAAUCUUGCCAUCGUUCGGAGACAGUCGGUGUGUAGGCGCGCCGCUUCUCCCACCCGGAGAGGAAUUGUCAUUCCCCCCCCCCAGUCGCGGUGCGCCUAGCUUCCCUCGUGAUCGCUAUCGGGCGAGGCCCAUUCGGAAGAGAUAGUGGUCACGGGAUGGUUGCAGCUAGAACAGGUGGGAGAUACAGAGAGGGGGUGCUGAAAGGGCAGGCAACGGCAUUGGUAGACUUUCUCUAGAUCUCCAGGCAAGCAAAUUUCCUGGAGGUUCCUGUGUCUACCUUCGCAAUCUACAUCUGGCAGCUUGCAGCAACUCGGCAAGCGGCACCAGGUUGAGGGCGGGGAAAGCCCCGAAAGAAAUCCAGAUGGGUAGGGAUCACGCACGGAUAACCUAUCCGGAAUCCGCGGAUAAUCCCGCACUCAUGGCCGUGCAUGCAACGGCUUCACGGCAGGCAGAACACCCUUUAAGUCGCGCAGCAGGGUCACGACGGGAAUGAGGACCGGGGUGUUGGCGGCAGUCCAUUGCAAAUAGCGACUAGGCGCCAACAAUUUGUUCUACUUAAGGGCCACAGCAUCCGGCUCAGCAUGACCCUGCCGGAUGAGAAUCUGGUGAUAAGUGAGCGAUAACCGUUGACCGGCAAAUCUCCCAAGAACUCCCGCAAUAUGUCACCACAUUCUAAGGAUUCUUUUGAAUCAGCAGGUUGUAGGUGCUGCAAAGGUUAAAGAUGGCCCAUGCACAAAGGCGGCGCAUGGCAGACCCUUGGGUCCCAGCUUGGCGAGAUCGUCAUAGCCGUGGCUGAAAGCGCGAACCCGAGCAUUACACAACAGCUUGUGCAAAUCAUUUGAAUAUCUUGCUUUCGAUUAGCCCACCCACCCACCCAUUGAUUAUUCAGCGAAUUAUAAUUCCAGCGUUUAUGGGAACCGGUAAAUUACCCGUACUUCACACCGUACUUGGCCCUUCGUUGUCGGCGGUGAAGCGGGCGGCACAGGAAGGGGAACAGUGGUACAUACUCUAGAUGCUGCCCUCGUCGCUGACGUGCGACACGCGGAUCACCCCCUUGGCUGAACUGAUCCCAGUCACUUAAAAGGAACGCAGAUAACCUCUCCAGAACCUCACCCACUCGAAUCAACUGAGACGAGUACACAUCUACCUUCUGAGAGACGGAGUCACACGCCGGCCACUCAUGACCCAACCAACGCAAAACGAUGAGCACUUUAGACGACCAGCAAUCCAGCGACCCAGCAAGUGCGGGUGUGUCCGUAAAAGCCGGGGGGGGGCAUGGAUGUUAUACUAGUAUUGAUGCGGGUACACGGGAGGCCAUCAUCAUCCUCCCUCGUUCACUUCAGGGUGAAGCGCCUCAGCGCGACGUGCCUGGCCUCCCAGAUUUCCGAGAGGUACCUGGGCAAUGCCACGGGUGGCGCCUCAGUCAUAAUGGUGCGCAUGCUGCACCCCUCAAAGACUAGGUCACCAUCGUACUUAGCCCGUAUGCUCUUGUAAGCGGGGCAUUCAUCAAAAACGUCCAAUCCAUCUUCAACCGCUCCACAGUCACAAAGCCUGCAGGUACACGUGGUGCACUCACGCCCAUUAGGCCUAUUAACCUCUAACUCCCAACAACCUAACCGGAAACGCAUGAGCACUUGAUGUAGUCGCCGGGGCAUGGUCACUUUAGUGUGCUCUAACCAAUCGAGACGCGGCGGGGCCGCUCUAAUUCGGUUCAUAUAGCGACAAGCCUUGGCUCCGGUGAUCCCUAUGGGGAAAACGGGGGGUCACCUAAGGUAUUCGGACACUCCCACCGUGCAUCAAGCCGCUUCGCAAAUAGUUUAAGAAUGCUCUCGACUGGCAGGGUGGCGUAAUGCACUAUGAGAUCAUCACCGCGCGUAUUAGUGGGGGGUUCCGCUCCUACGCUAGUAAGAAAGGCUAGUAACUUGCUUGUCCAGCACUCAGUAAUGCCAACGAGUGCCGAUUCCAGGACAGCGACAAAUGCCCGAUGACACAGCGUUCCCGGCCUCUUAACCACGGAGAUCCAAAACCUAAGUACAAGAUUGGUCUAAUGGAACCGAAGCGGCCUUUGCGACAGUUCACGAUAUAGGGAGGUCAUAGUCGGGCUCCUCGCCCCAACUACAGAUCGCGUGUACGCAAGCUGCUCCUGGACCAUGGGAUUAGUCAUAGCGCCCUCAAAACUCACAUUUAUGAAGUCAGGUCCCCAAUCUUGCGCUCUAUAAGAAAACACCAGUAGAACAGUAUAUUACAGAGACAUACAUAUGGCUGGUUGCUGGCAGAAGUUAAGGCCAGACUUCUGCUCCCAGCAGCUCAGGUCCAAAUCCGCCUGCCGACCUUUCGGGUGUGUGAGGGGUGUUGUAAUGGGAGGUGGCCCCCCGUCAUGAGGACGGUGUAGGACGUGAUGAUACCAUUCUGCGAGCUGAUAAGGGACUCAAUUGCUGGCGGUUAAUCCGCUAGAUUAGAUUGAAUGCUGGUGGUGACUCCAACGAAUGCAGUCUGAAGUUGGAUGGGGUGAAUGGACUAGGGUGCCUCUCUCGCAGGGGAGAGCAGGGAACUGCCUCGGGAAAGGGGGCUGCCGGUGAAGCUAUACCGUAUCGCUAUGGCCGAUUGGUGAUUUCUGGAUUGGUGAAAGUAAAAAACGCUUUGAAUCCGGGCUGAGCAGCUAGCCAGACCAAGAACCGGGACGAGAAACCCAAAACGCGUUCGUUACAGUACAACUAAUACGAACAAGGCACCGGGGACGUGGACAUAUGGUUGGGGAGAAGAGACGCCCAGCCUGCCUGCCAGAGCCCGCAUGCUACUUCGUGCAGCCCUUCCGGGCUACCGUGCUCUUCCGCAUUGGUAACCAGCAGGCAGCCGACGGCCUCGCUUGGGUUACUUUGGCCCCACACCUAACCCAGCGAAACAUCCCCCCUCACCCAGUCGCGUCACAUUCGCUCCACCACUGUCCGCCUCACAGCAACGGACCGGCGGAUGUAGACCAGCACCGCAUCAGACCUCCACCACCUGUGCGCCUUAAUCUCCUCCAGACCCACCCCAGCAUUGGCAGCCGCAGUGGCCCCCCCCUUGCGCAAGCUGUGGGCCGAUAUCCUAGCGAGAUCUAGCCUCAACUCUGGCUUGUACCCCUGCAACUCACCCAGCAACACAUGCAGCCUACUAGUGAAAUCCCCGCGCCGCCACGCCGUGCCCUGAUUGCCCGGCCCAGUGAUUCCCCGUACGAAGAGCGGGGAGUGAUCCUCGGCCGUCCGCACACACUCCAGGUGCCGCUGUACUAUGCGAGCGAUGGGGAUGCCGCUCUGGGUGAUUGCUGCCAGGCACACCAACGUCCCCGCUCCCUUCUGGUCCGUCUUGCUAUGUACGAUCUGCAGCCCCACACCCCCUCCCGGCAACUCCUCAAUGCAGCCCACUGUCAGGGCCGCCAACUCGCUCCUCCAGAGCAUCCCAAAAAACCCCAAAACCAGCCAGCAGGCGUCCUGGGUGAACUCCGUCGCCCUCCGCAGCUCCGCAUUUGCCCUGCACCGUAGCCACGCCACGAGCAGCCUCAACACUCCCAGGGGCAGGGGUGCCUUUGCCAUGGACGGUGCCGACUCCGGCCCCGCAGCAGUCCUCCGCAACGCUUGGCCCAGGGUUCGCUUGACCAGCGGGUCACGGCUGAUAUAUGCCUCUGGCGAGACCCCCAUGAACCGCUGCCAGUCCGCCAGGGCGCUCAGUGUGCCAGUGACGGUGGAGGCCGCGUACCGGCCAACUACAUGCACUAUGAACAGACACACCAGGCCCCGAUUGAGGUCAGACCCACACUGGCGGGGCAGGGUGUCCGCCUCCGGCACCCCUGCGACCUCCACACAGAAGUGUACAAAGCCCCGCCGCCCCAACUCGUACAUGACUGAAGAGCUGUCUGCGACCACGCUGCCAUAUAACGCCACGGCUAGCCGUGCUAGUUCCUCCGUAACACUCCCCUGGGCCACUGAUCCGAUACCCGCCGCCGCAAGCAAGUGGUGCAGCGGUACCACCCACCGGGGUAGGCGCCUGGGGCGAUUCCAAGGCACCGAUGAUGAGCCGAGCAGGGGCAGGCCUCACAGCACAGAUCCCCAGCUCCGCAGCAACGCCUGCAGACGGAGCAGCUUCCCUCCUCCUGGAGACCGCCUGCCGGCACUGGCCAAGGGGGGAUGCGGGGCAAUAUAAUUGAGCCUGAGCACAAUCAAGUCGUACUCGCUGGGCGUGGCCUCGGCCCCCCAUGGGAAAAGGCAGCGCUGUCGGCCCUUGGGCAGGACAGCCGAUACCACAUACAGGGUUGCCCCUUGCCCGGUGCCCACGAUGAAGCACCGAAACCAUGAGCACUCUGGCCAGUUUGGCACGAUGACAGUCGCCUGUGUGCUCUGGUCGAGCCUCGCAGCUGCCAUGAUCUCGAGCAGCACCUCCCCGACCAAAUCCUUGGGUGGGAAGGCCCACAGGACUUUGCCAGCGAGGGUUGCCGCCUGACCCAGCACCAACUUAUCCGGGCUGAAGAAGGUGGAGCAGCCCGGCUGUGCGUUGAUACCUAGCACGUCGCAGCAACAGUCCACCGAGGGAGCAUAUGGCCCAAACCCGACCAGGGAGCGGAACAUGCGAGGUUUGAGGCGCAGAUUCUGGCUGCGGGCCAACUCCAGAUUGCGGCUGAGCCGGUCCACCCUGACGUUAAGCUCCCCGGCGAUAUGCUCCACCCGCACUUCGAACUGGUGCCGCACCACCAACAGUGCCAGCUGUCGGCUGAUGGCCCGUCCGUCUGGGAUGCGUGUGGAACCAUGGUUGAUGGCCGCUACCGCCUGGGUGUUGUCGCACCGGACCAGCACCCGGCGCCCCGCCAACCGUGGCGCCCAGGACUGCAGCACCCACAGGACCGCUGAGAGCUCCAGCCAGCCGAUGUGCAGUCGUCGCUCCCCUUCGGACCAGUGGCCUUGCACCUUGGCCUGGUCCCAGGCCGCCCCGAAGCCCGCGCCACUCACAUCUGUGAAGAUGGUGGCGCCCUCUUCCCCCAAGAAAUCCCCCCUCACCAAGUCCAGAUUGGCCAAAAGACAGCGCUUGACACCGUCCCAGACGGAGGCGUCCGGCAGAGGACGUCCUGCCAGAAGUGAAGGUCGUCAAGAGCCCCCUCAGGAAGGGCGACUGAUGACGGCGGGGGGUAUUGCAGGGUGCUGAGAGCGUCGUAGAUGCCCUGCAGGAAAGUGUAGCCCCAUCUGCAUGCUCGCACCACAAACGUGAGGCGGCUGGCGAGUGUCUGAAGGUCUCCUCGGUGGACGGGCCCUGUGGCGGCCGCCUCUAGGAUGGCGGUGACUUCACUGGCAUAUCGCUGCUGCUUGUUGGGGGCCAUACGCAUCUCCAUGCGGAUGGUGUCGAAAAGCAUGCCCAGGAACUCCAGCUGCUGCAAGGGGGCGUCGCGCCCCCGGUCCUUGCUGGCCUUCCACUCAAGGCCCAACUCAGUGCCGAUGUCGUCGAGGACCUGAAAGGCGCCCUGGAUGUCCGCGUGCGAGUGACCCAUGAUCAUGAAGUCAUCUACGUAGACGAAGAUGUGCACCUGCAGGCCCCGGCAGUCGCACUCCUGCUGGAAAAUGCUGGCAGCGGCGGUGGUAAGCUCCACGAAGAUCGCUGGGCUUUGACUGGCGCCGAAGGGAAGGGAGACCCAUCGCUGCAGCGCGCCGGUGGAGGGGUGCCGGAAGGCCAUGAAUCGGCGCGCCUCUGGUGCCAGCUUGACGUGGUGGAACCCGCUCGCCAGGUCGCGCUUCCCCAGAAAGCCAUUGGCUGGCAGCUGUUCUUGAAGUGUGGCGAGAUUGGGGAGCGGACAGGGGAGCUUGGUCAUGCACUCAUUGACCCCAGACUGAGAGGGGUCGGUUAUGGGACGGAUGGAGCCAUCUGGCUUGAGGACGACGUGCAGGGGGUUGACGACGGCCGCGAAGUCGGUCUCGAAGCCAUGCACGCUGGGGUCAUAUUGCUCGGUGACGCCGGAAGCCAGGAGGUCAUCAGCCAGGAGGUCAUCGAAGUGCUGGCUCAUGUCGGCGAGGUGCGGGAGGAUAGAGGGAUAGUUACGGAGGUGGUGGGACGGGUUAGGCUCCGUGUGGAAUGUCCAGACGGCCACGUUGCGGGACGCUGGCGUAUCCACUCCAUACCGCAGCCAUGCCUCGGUGACGAGCUUGCUGCCCGCCUGCCCGAACCAAGGGCGCCCCGGGGCCGGAUGGAGCGGUUCAGGGAUCAUGGCCGCCGCCACUAAGGCUGACGCCUGUGCUACCGCUGCUGCAGCGGCCUCUGCAGCCACUGCGUCGGAGACCAUCUCAAGUUGCUGCAGAGGCGCGGGGCCUGCACCUACACUCAUCGAACGGGACAGGGGGGGGGGAAAACGAACCAAGCACCCCAGGAACAAUCAGCUGCCAACCUCCUUAUCCCCGAGGAGGGGGCCGAUAUCGCAGUGUGUGCCCCAUCUAUCGCCCAACGGGGAGGGCAGCUCUAACCCGCAGUGUGUGGGGGCCCUCCAACUGGGCUAAACGUCAGCAAGACGCCUCCUUAUCCCCGAGGAGGGGGCCGAUAUCGCGGUGCACGCCCCGUCUAUCGCCUGACGGGGAGGGCAGCUCUAACCCGCAGCGUUUGGGGGCCCUCCAACUGGGCUAAACGUCAGCAAGACGCCUCCUUAUCCCCGAGGAGGGGGCCGAUAUCGCGGUGCACACCCUGUCUAUCGCCUGACGGGGAGGGCAGCUCUAACCCGCAGCUACUUGGACGCGGCCUAUCCAUACGCCGAGGUAGCCUGAGCCAACGUCGGACCUUCCCACAAGCCGCCCUUGCAACCCCAGUAGACAACAUACCCGUCAGCCCGACGCUACCAUUUACUGCAACCUGGAAUCACGGUUUCGCACUGCCAACAUUUGCAACAACGGCUGCGCAUCAAGAGAACCACAAAAGCACAUUCCCUCAGCCCUAAUCACACACGCUCCUCAUGCAAUCCACCAACCACCCAAACAACUCGAUGCCACAUUCUAGGUUGCCACAUUCCGCAGCCUAUGGGCGUGGCCCAUAUGCGUUGCCUAGCUGUCACGGCAAGGUCACAACCCAAGCUAGGCAUUGUAAAUAUCCUGGUAUUUGCCCGGGAUAGGUGCCACAGUGCUCAAGCAAAAUUAGGUUCGUCCGUUUGGUCCUAACACGUAUCACGCGUCUAUGUCCGCCAGGCUCCGACCUCUCACUGUCCAUCCAGGUAGAAUCACCUUUUCGCUCGCAAUACAUAAUGCCGCACUCUCACAACGCUGUGACGUUAUACCCAACAGGUGCGCAAAGCAUACCAAUAAAAUCUCUCGAAUCACUUGCCGCGUGCGGCGAGAGCGCACAGAUAGAUGCCCUAAGGUCAUGAAACGCCCUGCGUACUUAAUAAGCGCGGAUACGAGGUAUCGGAUGCGUUAGCCUACACGAGACCUCCCUGGGUAGAAACAAGCAACAAUAGCAGCAGGAAUGAUCAAUGACAGCGGCAUGCCUCCCCAACACCAGCAUGCCAUGCUCGCUGUCCUGCCUUACCUGUCUAAUGAAAACCAGGUCCGUUCAAUACUGGAUGACUGAAUACCGUCGCGGCAGACUGCUAACGUCAGCACGGACUGGAGCUCUGCUAUGAGGAGCCACUCCCCGGUGAUGCAGUCCGCACAGGUCCCCCGGCCCUACCGCAAGAAACUGGUACGCUAGCCAGGACGGCCUCAACGAACGCGCGCAAAGCGAAUGACCACAUUCUCAGUGUAGUCAGCUGUCCUUUGUAUAAACAAUACAAAAUGCGCAAUUGUUGUCAUGGUCGUUUGCACUCAUAAAGCAAGGCGGCUGCGAGCCCGGAGCACUGCCCGCAGCCGACUCUGUCACCCGGCGACAGAUGUAGGGCCAAGGCUCCGGUAAUGUCUGGGAGCUCCUCUCAGGGCUGCACCACAAUACAGAGAUUGUCUCUAUAUUGUUAUAAGCGAAACUGCCAGAAGAAAGGUCGUCAAAUCCCCACCGCUGACCAACGGACAAUAACAGCGGCAGCUAGCAGCUGUUUUGGUAAAGAGAGCUCGUAUCAACCAGCAGCCGAAUCCGAGAUCGCCCGGAAGAUAAUUCGACAAGACGAAACACCACCGAUCAAAUAGCAGUUCAAAAUAACAACCAACUAACUGCACCGUACGACGCCGCUCUGACGCCCCUCUUCAAACCACAUUUUCGGCUACGCCUAAAAUAAGAUUUCUAGAAUUAAUCUUUCCAACACCGGAAUUGGUGAUACGGUUUGGUGUUACCCCGUCCACUUUUUCCCAUUGCCACCGAAUUGGUGAAAGCCGCCAACCGGACUGCCCCCCGUUCACUGUGGGCCCUCCGAGGCGCCCCAGGCCCACAUCAACCAAUCUGCAGUCGCAUGUAAACGUUUCUAGAUGCACGCCGUCGCAUACAGCAUCGCGCGCGCGCAGCAAAGUGACCCUUAAACGGCGGUCCGGCACCCGACCUGGAUCCAAAACGUACAGGGAUUGGUGAUGGCCGCCGCUCAAUCCCAGCCCGGAUUAUCCUUUGCUACUGGAUUGGUGAUUUUCACCAAUCCGGUGUCACCAAUCGGCCAUAGCGAUACGGUACCACCCUGUAACAACAUCAUACACAGCUUGGGGAUGGUAAUUAUCUUAUCUCGACACCAACCCUUAAACCCCAAAACCCAAAAACCCUAAAACCCUAACUCUCCCUGAUAGCGUACCUAUAAUACUCGGCCGGGGUUCCCUCCAGGCCCGGGGACUUAUUGUUGCGCAUAGCCUUGAGACCACGAACAAUUUCGGCCUCCGUAAAGUCCUUGUUGAGCCACGCAGCUAAUUCCACCGGUGCAUCACCCGGUCCUCGUCCUGCGGCAGGAAUCCUGCCAUUUAAACUGGAUACCUUCAUUGCAGUGUUGCUCGCGUCUCCCGCACCUUUAAGCACCUUGGAAAAAUGCUCGGUAAAGCCAUUAAUAUCUGAGAUCCCGCAAGGAGGCGGUUUUCCCCCACGCAGCCAUGUCCACAAGCCGCGUGGGUUAGACCGGGCGUCCUUAAUCCUCCUCCGAAUAUUUUCCAAUUCAAUCUCCUGAAUAGCGGCCUUUCUGGCCUUCUUAAAGGCACGGUGCUUGGCCUUCCAGGUAGCCCUAUGUAUGGCCGGCAGCUUGCCCGAGACGGGGUCCCUGAUCUCCAUACGGAAACUCAUCAUAUCAUUCCACGCAGCUGCACAGUCCUCAUUCCACCAGUCACGCUUCACAUAAUUCACCUUCCCCCGUGCAACGCCGGACGUCUCCCUAGCAUACGUCCCGAUUAGGGUGCGCAAGUCAUUCAUGCUUUCAUCACAAGGGGCCCCUUCGCCAAGCUUCUCCUUGAGCGAGUUGAUGGUCGCUGUAAUAAUGCCAUCUGGGUCACGAAAAAGGUCAGUGAAGCGGCCUUUGCGUGAAAUAUCAAAAAUAGGGAUGUGUUCACGUGCCAGGUGAGGCUUCCGACCCCUGGCCUCAAUAGGCAUGCAGCCGAAGGAUAAGCGGGUGAUGAUCACUCAGCACAUUGGAUUCACCCCAUAAGUAAGAUCUGAGGACUUUAAGGGUGUCUAUCUGCUCGAAGAGCCCAUAAGAUGCAAGGCACAGAUCAAUUGAACUGUGACCCUUAGUUCAGUUGAGGUCGGGCACAUCAACAGGUGCACGCCCAUUGACAAUGGCUAGGCCUGUGUCAAGACACAUUUGUGCCAACCGGAGGCCAAAACGAUUAACUCCGUUAUCUCUACUUUUACGGGGAACGCCGCCAAGGGAGUGUGCCCCUACUCCAUUUACUUCGGGCAAGUCUAGAAUAGCUGCCGCACGGGCAUUAAAAUCACCUGUGAUAAGCACCUCAUCGCCCACGCACUGCAGUCUAUCUAGCUUGCCAGUAAUGCUUUUAAAAGCAGCGAAAGCGAAAGUGACCUCACUAUAUGCCAGGCCACUCCCAUCCGUGCUGCUAUAAACGCUGGACCCCUGGGGCGAGCAGUAACCAGCCCCAAGUAGAAGCGCCCGACCCCCUGGGAGAACGCUAGGGAACCGCAACCAGACAAUUUCCAACCCAACAGGUGCAUUCGUUAGGCCCACUUCUCUCACACAGGGGGCCAGCUCAUAACGCACAAACACUGAGACCCCGCCUGACCUUCGAGAGCCUGUGCGCGGUGCCCUAGUGCAUGCGAAAUGGCUAUAGCCCUGUAAUACUCGUUGUUCCUUUGCGCGCUUCCGAUUAACGGGCGCCUUCAAGGACGAUUACAUCAUGGUUAAGGAACCCACGAAUGGCCGUAAUCUGGUAGAGCUUGCCUGCCGAGAAGGCAUGGACGUUCCAAAUAAGGAAGCGGAUGCUAUUACCUCCCCCCCCCCCGUGCUCCCUAGUUAGCCGUCUGCCUCAGCUCUGUGGCCAUUUUGCGAACGUCUACCUUCGCCCAGACGCCACUGUCUGGCUCGGUGAGCGCCAUAAGGUGGGUACCUCGCCAUGAAGGGGCUCUCUUACUACCAAGUGCCGAAACACGUCCUGUUGCCCUUUUUGCGUGUUUCGCCAAGUGCUGUAAGCGCCAGUGUCACCCGCACGGCCGGGAACGACUCGUCCACCCCUUCCUCCGCAUCCAGGCCCAGCUGCUUCCGUAAUGUGUACAGGGCAUGAUAUGCCGCUGGGGUUGUCGUGAUGCGAACCCGCUGGGUUGUCCGCUUGCUGCUGCGUGCAGCGACGUUCGGGUGUGCCUCAACGGUGCAAUCUUCGGACGCGACCCUCAUGUCCAUAAGCUGCCGUAGACGCAGUUGCAGUUUCUGGAUCACUUCGUCCUGCGUCCAAGCAGCUGGCAGUCCGUCGGUGACCAGUGCACCCCGGUCCAUAUGUCCAUCGGUGCUGCUGGUAGUCUCAGCCAGCGCUUGGGGGGGUCUGGGAGCGCAAUUGGGUCAGCGCAAGACAGGGUAGCGCCUUUCAGAAGCAGCAGCACUGGGCCGUAGUUGGACAGCGUGUUACAGCGUGGUUGGCUAGGGGCAUGGCCCACUCACUGAGCAUGCUGAGCGUGCACUGGUGAACUCUGUGCUAAAUUCGGGGUACUAAUUUCUUGAGUUUAGGAAGUUGGCAGGAUGCGUAGGAUGAGUAGGUUAUUAUGUUCUUUGGUUUGGGGACCCAAUAGGGCGCUGAGCACGGUGGAGCAAGCUGAGCCUGUAGUGUAGCAGCUGGCUGCUGAAAAGGCCUCUCGAGAUGCUGGUGAAGCGUUUCGCUCGUAUUAGUAGUUCUUCAAGGUGCCAUACUGUGUACCAACUACUGCAACUAGCCUGAGCAUGCUCACUACCGGUGCACCGGCAAAUUCGAUGCCUCCAUGCACCCUGCUUCAUGCACUGAUGACCCUUUAGGAUUCACCUUAACACAUUUCAUUCAUAAUGGCAUGCAUGUGCGCUGCGAGUCGUGCCAUAAUUAUUUAUUUGUCGUUCUACGUUUCCCUUUGUGUGUGCAGGCAAGCAGGCCCUGGCUGGGCCUUAACUCUAUUUAUUGAUGCUGGCUAGCGCCGCUGGGCUAGCACUGUGUUAGAGAUAAGAGUCCUUCAGUGAACACAUCACUCGCUCAUAUCGUUACACAAGGAGAGAGAGAGAAUGGAUACGCAAGCAGUAUAUAAGCAUACCGUAGCCAAUCCUGAUUCGAUGUCGUAUUGGGAUAACGGCAACUAAUCAAACUACCGAAGUGUCAAGCCUGAGUGUACCUAAGGACACUUCCCAACACUCCCACGCGCUCAGGACUUGCACACGUUCAUCGCCAUACGAUGCUUCACAAACUUCUCAGUUGGUAAAGGCUUAGUUAGACAAUCAGCUACCAUAUCUUCCGACCUGCAAUCUACCAUCACAAGCGUACCGAGCGCUACCUGCUCCCGUACAAAAUGAUAACGCACAGAGAUGUGCUUCGAUUGCUUCGAAACAACCGGAUUGCUCGCCAACCGAAUUGCGCUCUGACUAUCGCAAUUGAUCUGCGUUGGCUUGAGGUCGUAGCCGAGAUCGCCAAGUAGUUGUCGCAACCAUAAGGCCUCCUUAGCAGCUUCCGAAACAGCCAUAUACUCAGCCUCCAUAGUGGACGCAGCCACGCUCCGCUGAAGUUUACUAGCCCAACUAACUGUACCACCAUGAAGAGUAAAGACGUAACCAGACGUUGACCGCCGCGAGUCAGCACAACCCGCAUAGUCAGCAUCACUAUACCCAACCAACCUCUCAUCUGCUCGUUCACCACCUAGGACUAAUCCGUAAUCGGACGUUCCUGCCAAAUAGCGUACUACCUCCUUCGCCGCUUUCCAGUCCGACCUGCUAGGAUUCGACAUGUGACGCGCCAAAAUUCCCACGGCUUGUGCAAUGUCGGGACGAGUACAUCCAGACACGUACAACAAACUGCCAAUUAACUGGCUAUACGGGAAACGCUCUCGAUCCAGCCGAUCUUCCACUGCAGCAUUAGGUAAGACGGUUCCAGGACUCAUAGGUACAGACUUCGGCCGUGCAUUAACCAUGCCAUAAAGACCCACAAUGUCCUUAACCAUACGCCCUUGAGAAACGGUAAUUACCCUGUUCGCUCGAUCGCGCUUAAGGGUAAGACCCAAAAAUAAACUUGCCUCUCCUAAGUCGCGGCACUCAAACCGCCGCAUGAUAGCCGCCUUUACUUCUGAAACGGCUCUCUCGCUCCAAGACGCAAUCAAAACGUCGUCUACAUAAACCAAAAGAUACACAACCUCGCCUUGUUUACGGCGAACAAAUAAACUAGGGUCCGCACUCGACGCGACAAAGCCCAUCGACACUAAUUCUUCACAUAACGUGUCAUACCAUGCACGCGACGCUUGACGAAGGCCAUACAAGGCCUUAUGGAGAAGACAAACUAUCCCCGGGCCUCCCUCUUCAAAACCGGGGGGUUGUUUGACAUAAAUUUCCUCCUCCAAAUCGCCAUUCAAGAACGCUGUUUUCACAUCUAAUUGGUGCAAUUCCAUGUCUGCGCCAGCUACCAUGGACAAAAAGGUGCGCAAGGUAGUGUGACGACUCACCGGCGCAAAAACCUCCUGAAAAUCCACACCCUCGNNNNNNNNNNNNNNNNNNNNNNNNNNNNNNNNNNNNNNNNNNNNNNNNNNNNNNNNNNNNNNNNNNNNNNNNNNNNNNNNNNNNNNNNNNNNNNNNNNNNNNNNNNNNNNNNNNNNNNNNNNNNNNNNNNNNNNNNNNNNNNNNNNNNNNNNNNNNNNNNNNNNNNNNNNNNNNNNNNNNNNNNNNNNNNNNNNNNNNNNNNNNNNNNNNNNNNNNNNNNNNNNNNNNNNNNNNNNNNNNNNNNNNNNNNNNNNNNNNNNNNNNNNNNNNNNNNNNNNNNNNNNNNNNNNNNNNNNNNNNNNNNNNNNNNNNNNNNNNNNNNNNNNNNNNNNNNNNNNNNNNNNNNNNNNNNNNNNNNNNNNNNNNNNNNNNNNNNNNNNNNNNNNNNNNNNNNNNNNNNNNNNNNNNNNNNNNNNNNNNNNNNNNNNNNNNNNNNNNNNNNNNNNNNNNNNNNNNNNNNNNNNNNNNNNNNNNNNNNNNNNNNNNNNNNNNNNNNNNNNNNNNNNNNNNNNNNNNNNNNNNNNNNNNNNNNNNNNNNNNNNNNNNNNNNNNNNNNNNNNNNNNNNNNNNNNNNNNNNNNNNNNNNNNNNNNNNNNNNNNNNNNNNNNNNNNNNNNNNNNNNNNNNNNNNNNNNNNNNNNNNNNNNNNNNNNNNNNNNNNNNNNNNNNNNNNNNNNNNNNNNNNNNNNNNNNNNNNNNNNNNNNNNNNNNNNNNNNNNNNNNNNNNNNNNNNNNNNNNNNNNNNNNNNNNNNNNNNNNNNNNNNNNNNNNNNNNNNNNNNNNNNNNNNNNNNNNNNNNNNNNNNNNNNNNNNNNNNNNNNNNNNNNNNNNNNNNNNNNNNNNNNNNNNNNNNNNNNNNNNNNNNNNNNNNNNNNNNNNNNNNNNNNNNNNNNNNNNNNNNNNNNNNNNNNNNNNNNNNNNNNNNNNNNNNNNNNNNNNNNNNNNNNNNNNNNNNNNNNNNNNNNNNNNNNNNNNNNNNNNNNNNNNNNNNNNNNNNNNNNNNNNNNNNNNNNNNNNNNNNNNNNNNNNNNNNNNNNNNNNNNNNNNNNNNNNNNNNNNNNNNNNNNNNNNNNNNNNNNNNNNNNNNNNNNNNNNNNNNNNNNNNNNNNNNNNNNNNNNNNNNNNNNNNNNNNNNNNNNNNNNNNNNNNNNNNNNNGGAUGAUUCCUUGAUAACGCCCAAAGCUCGCUGGUCUUGCUCGUCUGUCACUACAUCCCGCGUAGCCUGCACGGGGCUGAUCGCGUUCGCUAGUCCUUUACGUUGAAGGACGCCGAUGACGUGCUCCUUCAAGAGGUGAAAGGUGCUAAUGGAGAAAUAAAAAUCCUCCUUAUCUAUUUUCAUCCUUGCCUACAGCUAAGUCCGCACACAGCAGAAAAAGGCACCACCGGGCAAACGGAUGACCGCACGCUAAAGCGCGGGGCUCAUAACCUGUUAGAGAUAAGAGUCCUUCAGUGAACACAUCACUCGCUCAUAUCGUUACACAAGGAGAGAGAGAGAAUGGAUACGCAAGCAGUAUAUAAGCAUACCGUAGCCAAUCCUGAUUCGAUGUCGUAUUGGGAUAACGGCAACUAAUCAAACUACCGAAGUGUCAAGCCUGAGUGUACCUAAGGACACUUCCCAACACACUGCCGGGCCUAUGGCUUAAACACUUCGGUUACCGACAGUUUUGAACACUACCGGGGUUCGCUAACCGAACCGACCGAGUAACGAUCGUGAAAGACACGUUAACCGGUCAGUUGGGUAAACGGUCAGUUGGGUAAACGGUCAGCUGGGUAUGGGCUAAGUGGAUGGUGAUCAGAAUGGCUGCCUUGAUCUGCUGGGCUAGCACUGCCGGCCGGCCUGCGGGCUAGCGCUGCUGGGCUAGCGCUGCUGACUAGUGUUGCUGGGCUCGCACUGCUUUGAUCAACAAUUACGCUCACAAUGGAAGCCCCUUAGCAGUUUCCACCAAGUGGUCCGGUUAUGACUUACCCAGGCUCCACUAAGUGGAGCCCAGUGAAAAACAUCCAUGUAUGCCGCCACUGAAAUGCUGCCGCGGCACUAAACAAUUGACGUGUUGGGCUUCACGCACAUUCCUCACAUUCCUCCUAACAUGGCAGUAAAGAGUGCUACGCCUGUGGCUGUGCGCAUGCUGGCGUGCAGUACUAUAUCUAUGAUGUUGUCUGCGGCAUUACUAAAAGAGUUUCAUACGUUGCGACCAUCAAUGCGCCACUCUCCAUAUCUGUUCUGCUGUCUUUGCCCAAAUCGCUGCUGUCAUGAAAUUGAUUAGCGAAUUGAUAAGCUAAUUACAGAUGCCGGCCCAUGGUACAAGUACAGUUAAUUGUAUGUGAUUCCGCCUCCCUACGUAGCCGAAGCCUCCCUAUGAACAGCUGAGUCACCUUUUACGAGCCAUGUGCGACCAUAUGAAAUCGCAGACCAGCCAACCAUGCAUAACCGUACUUGCUCGUUUGCACUUGCCGGAACAACUAAUAAUCCUUUGGGGCGGGGCCGUGCGUGUGUGUGUGUGCGUGUGUGUGUGUGUGUGUGUGUGUGUGUGUGUGUGUGUGUGUGUGUGUGUGUGUGUGUGUGUGUGUGUGUGUGUGUGUGUGUGUGUGUGUGUGUGUGUGUGUGUGUGUGUGUGUGUGUGUGUGUGUGUGUGUGUGUGUGUACCAAACAUAAUAUCUCGCCCGGCUGAGACGCGUUAUUGGUACUAUAAUAAAUCCUCUAUUGCAAGGCAUCUCGCCUGUAGCCAACCAAAAUCGUAUGAGCACAAAUAAGUUUGGCUGCCUCCAUUGACCGAGGUCAAAGUCACAUCAAGGCCUCUCGGGCUAAAUUUCAUCUCAAAAGGUGCCGCGUAUUUUUAAUUGAAUUCUGAGAUGGCGGCGCUUGAUAGCUCAAACACCCAGCUUGCGUUACCAUUUGUCCGCACGGGCAUUCCGACAUGCCACCAGCAGGCCGACAAAUUUGCUUUCAUUCCUCUACGAACUACGCAAGCUGCUCGUUUGUACAAUUACUUGGGCAAAUGCUCUGGGCCUCCGAAGAGUUGCCGUGUGUCGCGAUGAAGCUCGCGGCUGUGGGGCGGAAGCAUAGCUCCCACAGCAUCAGCACUGCUGCAACAAGCACAGCUCCCACCAUGUUGACACUACCCUAGCUACCGGCCUGUACGGAUGCAGGGGGCCCCCGCCCUUUUUCCGGCUUCGAGGAAGCCGACACCCGACUUGUCAAGUUCCACUAAGCUACUAAACGUUAUAAUAACGUGUGCUAUCUAUCCCGGAUUAGGAAACCCUAGCUGUGUCUCGAUUCUCGUAGUUCCUGUUAUACCUAAUUGAUGAUUCACGAAUGGGAUGCCAUCCCUGCUGUAUCAGAGGUGUAAUCCCAGGCAGCAGUAAGCGCCAACAUUUGUAUGGCGAUGCAGUGGGCUAACCAUACAUAUGCAGUGUGAUUUUCAUCACAUACAACCUAAUCCGGGCCCGAAACCUAAAGCCUAGCUUUCUUGGCCGAAAAAUAUUAUCAUCAAAAUGUUUUCUGUUGGAUAAUUGAUUCCUUCAAUCUUCUUUUGGGGGACCCUUAUUAGCUUGCGGUUGAUCAACUCCGAGUUGAGCAUUCCAUAUAAUUUUGGCCAAUAUUGCAGCGUCCGGGUUACAAUCCAGUAAGAUUUUAUCCCCGAAAAAUGAGGCGGCAGUGAUGAAUUGUAGGGAAGAAGGAGGAUGGAAGGAGGAAACAGGAAGGAGGAAGGAGGGGCGGAGGUAGAGGGACGGAAGAACUUGGAAACGUUGUAGGGGGCCAGGUAUCCGAGCGAUCCUGACAAGAAUUUUGGAGUUUAUUUUCUGGUAAUCAUACUGGUGAAGGUAGGACCGAGGUCAGCGAGGAAGAGGAGGGAAGAAGGGGGGUGUUCACGGCCGGUCGGUGUGGGGGCCCCGGCGGAGGGAUCCAUGCAGCGUUGGGAGUGGCGGGUCCGGCCAUGAGCUCGGCACGAGGCGGGUGAGGGAGCAACCGGACAGGGCAUUGUCCUUGUAGGGAUUGUGUUGGGUCAUGGCGCUCGCUUGUGUUUAGUCGGUGCAAAUUGACGGGGUUCCCCGCCCCCCCUGGAUACCUGCAAAGGGUGCGAUACCCCAAAAGCUUCCCUAGCAUAUUUCAUUUUAUAGAUAAAUAGUUAAAGACACCUUGGUAAGCGGGUCGUUCCGGACAAAGUCGAGGAACGUUUUGUGGCUGGCGUAGUCUAUCUGCCGCGGCUACGGUUUGCUAAGGUACGGAAGGCAGGUCGCUGGCUGUUACCAAAGUUGGCAAUGGCUUGUCACCAGUUGUGAAAAUUAGAGGAUUGCUGGCAGCGUUAUUUGGAACUCCGGAAUUGCGUUCACCAAUUCCUAAAGGUCGGCAAGCAAUACGACAUUCCCCUGCUCUGUACCCUUUUACCCAAAGAUUAAGUCUUCUGCAAAUUUCUAAGCACAGGUUAUUUCAUAAAGUGUAAAUGAAGAUGCUGUACUUGCUAGGUCCUAGCUGAUAACACUGACAGGGUACGUACGAUUAAACCGUACUAGCCUUUCUAUUUCUCCUGAAUUAAAUUUACUAGCCUAAUAUGAAGUAAGUUAUGGAUAUUGAUGAUCAGCGUGGACUUGUGCAGGUCGUACGCAACAUCUGGAUGCGGCGACGCACCCUGAUAGCCGAGCAGUAAGCCUGAGGUCGCUUAACCUACUUACUGUUUUCUCUCGCAGAUGGGGUUCAUAACCCCUCAUUAUUAUUUACAUUUAUUGAUCUUUCCUUCUUCUUGACUACGCUAGAGCUCGCGGUCCAGGCUCGUCCGGGCCUUACGAGCUUGUAACAAAACAUUACAUAACAUUUGAGCUUCAUCAUUAAAUCUCAGGGUUGACUUUUUCUAACUAUUUGAUUUUGGGUGAUACGACUAGCGUUUGGAAGACGUUUGCAUGUUAGUUAUGGCGGUUCGUAGAGGCUGGUGCCAGAGCGCCCAAGGUGUAAUAAUCUGUUCUUUCAGAGCAAAUCAUAUUUUCAAAUCUAAGAUGAUAAAACCCUCUGAUAUCCGUGAGGGCCCUCACGCACGUGGACGCAUACAACCACUAUUGAAAGUAACCUCCCGAGGGUCCGCUAGGUCGCCAAGUCAUGAUUUGGAGUCAAAUAUAAACCAUGUUACAAGUUUCACUGCGAACUGGGAUUUAUGACAGCGUUGAUGUAAAACGCCUGCUGCAAACCUCAGCCUGCUGCUGAGAACGCUGCCACCUGCGAGGCAGGUAUAUACGUAGUGCAGGAAUAGAAGAAGUAAUGCAGUAACAGCUCUAUGGGGAACAUAUCAUCAUGACUAUAUAGCUGGGCCUGAACUAAUUUAAAUAAAAAUUAAGCAUAGGUUGGGAUUUAAUUUUCCCAGGCCCUAAGUAUAAUAAUAUAUGCAGCAGCAUGUGCGGUAAUACUCCGAGCCUCCAGCAACAGCAGCAGUGUCAAGUAUUCUACCUUGUUGUAACCGUGAUUUGCAGCUACAUUUCUUAUGGCCUGCCUUGUUAAUGUCGGAGGACCAUACUUGACUAGCAAGCUAUCCGGAGGCCGCAUCCUGCUGCGUGCCGUACAGGGUUUCAUUUAGAUGCCUAUGGCACAUGGAGUGGCAGGUCCAACAAAUAUUUCUAAUUGAUAUCCUUAGCCAUUUUCCUCUUUCCAGCCUUGGGAUAGAUGCAUUAGCAUCUUCAGAAACUUGACCAUGUUUGCCCUCGGCUUAGCGAUAUUAUUAUGCAUAGCAAGCUUGCUCCAAGUUGCUGUUGGCCAGCCUGUCAUCAGCCGUAUCGACCCCGCAAUUGGCAGUCUGGCCGGAGGCGCCAGGUGGGCGGGGCUGGCCUUCCAGUUGACUUCAUGGGCAAAAUAACUAACCAGCAUUGCAUGGCCUCCCUCCGCAGGCUGGUGAUAUAUGGCAACAAUUUUGGUGACAUGUAUACCACCAGCAGGAGUGUUUAUAUAGGCCCGUAUCCCUGCAACAUAAUCUCCCACUACUCGAGCAAUGAAGUGGUAAGCGCUUGCAUAACAUCCUUACGAUGGUGCACAAUAAUCCAAACGCAACAGCGGUAUGCUAACAUGCCACAUUGCGCCGCACAUUCUUGCAGCUCACCUGCGAAACCAGCCCGGGCUCAGCCGGUACCUACCUGGUUUAUGUUUCAGUUGGCGACUAUGAACCCGCCAUGUAUGGAGGAUUCACAUACACAAACGAUAUUACACCAAGUAGGAUACAGUCGUAUGUGUAUGAAGUCAAUGUUUUUCGUUUUGGUUGGGUUAUUAUGAACACGCACGCAGAGGGCCAGAGCGGGGUCUAGCAGUGUUGAUGUUCCUGGGCAUGCAUACCCUGAAGUCGGAUGGGAUGAACGGAUUAGGGUGCCCCUCUAGCAGGGGAGAGCAGGGAACUGCCUCGGGAAAGGGGGCCGCUGCUGAAGCUAUACCACCCUGUAACAACAUACAUACCAUGUGUGCGUGAGUAUUCGUGGCUCUUUCCAACUUCUUUGCUAGCACUGAGCUUAGACGAUGGACAUGCAUGCACAGGGCCAUGGUUGGCUCUCGCCUUGUCAUGUUCCUGGACAUGUCAGCAUGCAAUUUUGUCGCCAUGAUUACCUAUGCAUGGCUGCCUUGCCGUUGUACUCGCGCUCACCGCGCGUCCUCCUUCGUUACCCUAAGCUAUCCGCCGGGAUCCUUCUAAUCAUGCGAUGUGCUGACGUGUGCCCCCAGCUCUCAAGGCAGUCUUGCCGCGUGCGGGGCCACCGGGAACGGAGGUGUUCAUAUACGGCGACAGGACCGCGUACAUGAUGUAUCGCGAUUGUGUGGAGUCAAACUGGGGUGACAUGAAUUGUGUCGGCAGCAUUCUUUUCGGCGAUUACCUUUGCAGGCAGGACCCCGCCGACCCAGACUCGCCCAUCAUCAUGACCACCAAUCCGCGGCUUGGCCCGUACCUGUACCGUAUCGGGUGCACCAUGCCAGCGCAGAACAGCAACAACACUCAGGUGACACAUGGGGAGUCAAUCGGUGGUCAUGAAUUACUUCUUGUGGAGUGCAACUAGCGUACGCAUACGGGGACAUGGAGAUCUGGGGUGAGGGGGCGGAUAUGGUCUUGCACAAUACCAUCCAGAUGUUGACCCAACUCAAAUCCUGUAUCGUGUUUGUGGAUCGCCCCAUGCAUGACCGCAGCCCGCCCUCGGCAAGGCCGCCAGUUUGAAUGCGACCAUCCACUUUGAGGCCAGCAUGCGUGGUGGUGCACCGACUGCCCUCCCUUCGUCGUUCCUGUACAAUGUCGACAGCGUGCCUUACCAGUUUCAGCUAUACCCAGAGGUUACAGGUGUGUCGCCCGCGACCGGAUCGAAUGCGGGUGGCACCUUGGUCAAAGUCACCGGACGUGGGUUUCCCGACUUGAGGCUGGGCAUGAAUGAUACGAUUGCCAUCUCUAUUGCCGGUGUGCCUUGUGACAUCGUGAACAGCACUUACGACACGCUCUUCUGUGUGACCGGCCCUAAGCCUGCGGCCACGGUAUCCCCUAUUGGCGGGUUGUACCCUGCAAUGCGUGGCAUCGAGUACGAGUUUUAUAAUAUCUCGCGGCUGUCAUAUGGAAAUCUUUGGCAGCUGAACAACACCAUCAAGGUGCAGCCUUUGAAUGGCUCUUACCGUGCCGUGCUGACGGGUUCCUGGGAAGGAAACGAAUAUUCCACGCCGUACUACUGCAGCCGCAGCAAAGCGUUUUUUACAGCUCCCCGCGCCGGGAACUACAGGUAAGAGUACUUGAGCUUCGUAGCUUCGUUGUACUGCUUAAUCUGUCGUGCACGCCGCCGAGCAGAGCGGUGCAUGGCGUCUGUAAAUUUGAGGAGUGCCCAUAGACCAUCUAUUCCAGGCCUAUCUAUUACCAUGGCACGAUCUGUAGACCAAUCUGUACCAUGAUCUAUACACGAUUUAUUUCUUGGUCCUAUCUAUAAUACGAUGACCCUGUCUAUAGACGAUAAAAAAACCUUACCGACGGGUGUAUGCCCCGCCAUGAAUUGUAGGAUACCUAUGUGUUCUACUGCAAGGGCCUGCAUGGGAUUGCAUGAAAGCAUCGCGCUGCACGGGAACGGGAAACAUGUCCGUUCUCAAUCACGCCCGCCUUUCCCCCAUCUCGCAGUUUCUACAUGUCCGCAGAUGACUAUGCCCAACUGAAUGGGACAUGGAAACAGGUAUGUCAUUGAAGAGCACACGCCCCACAUACGGCACACGGAAGAGGACCCUAAUACGCUGCUUGUUAGCAGCCAUGUUCUUGUGCGUGAUCAUGACGGCUGUACGGCGGUACACAAAUCACAGUGACGUAUCCAUCCUCCGCAAGUCUAAGCGUUCCUUCGUCAGCUUCAGGCUCAAGACUGCCGAAAGGCCUGCCUUAAAGCUCUCCUGCCCUUUUUCAACCUAAGCCCUAUGGUGCUACCGCCAGUAGUUCGAAUGAUCUGCCCGAACGUUUCUUCACGCCCUUUAUUUGUGUGGUCCGCCUUCUGCGGAGGCCUAUUACUGUUUCGUCUUCUCAUCCCGUGUGUACCGCUGUUGCUCCUGUGGGUUGCCCCUUGCAGUCCAAUGGCGCAUUGGUAUCGACCACACUCAUCAACCUUCAGUCCUGGACGUAUAUUGACAACUUCUUCCAAAGCCCGUCGCAGCGGUCACUGGAGGUCACCCUGAACGCAGGCCAGAGUAUACUUCUGGAGAUGAACCACUGCAACGGCGCCUCUGUCGGUUUUACGCAGCUGGCCGUGCGCAUGCCAGUCCCAGAGCCGCGGCUGAACUCAUUACCAGAAAUUCAGAAGAUCUCUAUCUCUGCGACCUUUUUUCCUCGCUCAGUUGCCAUCAAGUAUCUGUAUGGUGAUGGCGCCGCCGUGACUGCCUUCAACAUCACCAUCAGCGCCCUGAAUGACACUGCCCUGGAUGACCCGCAGAUCGGACUGUAUGUGCAGAUCAACGGCGGCUGGGAUAUUGUCCUUCCCUUGGGUGCCACCACCGGUGCAAUGGAUGACCUGGUGGAAGCCUCCCUCGGUGGAAACUUCACCAAGAACGACACCUUGUUUGGCAUCCGCAAGACCCGCGCUUAUGGCACGCUGACGCUGCAGAUGGCUGCUUUGGAUGGAUCCAUGGGAAGCUUCAAUGUGACUGCAGCGAGAUUGGUCCUCCUUCCCCCGCCGCCGCCGCCCAUGGAUAACACAUGCCCUUCUAAUAGCAGCGCUGCUAUCAACGUCACAUCUAUGUAUCCUCCUCCUGCGCCUCAGGCACUACAGAGUGCUGGUACUGGCUUUACGGUUAAUGUCUCACGGGCCCAGGCGGUCCCUGCGGUCGUUCCUACAGGCGACUUCCUGUUGGGGCUUUACGGCAACGCUACUACAUCCCGGGUGUCAGCAACUGCCAACUCCACAGCGAUGGUUGCUGCAAUCCAAAAUGUGACUGGUUACAACUCCAAUUACUAUUCGGUCAACGUGACGAAUGCACGUGAAGGUGCCUAUUUUGCACGCAUCUGGAACAUCACCUUCACCUACUCGUGGUUGGACAACGUACCGGCACUGGUGGUCGGGCCUUCAAGUACGACACCCCCGGGCGUAUUACUAACAAUGGAGUCACGUAGCGCUAGCCCGCGCCUGAAGGGCUCCUUCAAGGUGGCCUUUGGCAGCAGCUGCGCAUCUGUGAAAAUCAACCUUGGAGACUCCUCCGAAACCAUUGAGGCCGCACUGGGGAGCCUGCCGGGCCUGGCGCCACCGAAGCAGGUUGAUGUCUCAGGCGACGGUACCAGCGGCUACGUUUACACCAUCACCUUCGACCCAAUCAAUAAUCCUGGAGAUCAGCCGGAGCUGCGCAUUGCGGAUGCAAGCGACCUCCAGGGUGUGAACCCCACGGGUAGCAUCACGACUGUGUGGAAUGGCACCACUGACGCCUUCUACGCGCCCAUCCCGACGGAGUUUCUGCGCCUGGCUGUUUCGCAACCUGGGACCAUCAACUUGCAAGUCAACGGCGUGCCAUCGGCUUGUGCGGAUGCAAGCGGCAUCUGUGGGUUUUUGUACUCUGAUGCUGCCACCCCACGCAUCACAGGCGUAUCACCAACUAGACUCGCAUUCAGCAGCCAGGCGAGCUUGCCCCUUACCAUUACUGGUUCUGGUUUCAGCAGUGGCCCCAGUGUGGAGGUCCGGGUGGGCACGGCGCUGUGCAAUGUGACAUCAGUCACUGCGACCCAGAUCACCUGCAACGUCCCAGACACGGCGCCUGCUGGCGUCCGGCUUGUUUCAGUGAACGUGGCUGGCCUGGGGUUCGCGGACGGCGCUCCAAAUGUCACACUGGAGACGCUCUACGUGACUGGCUCUGCACCCUCGCCGGCCGUACUGUCCUCCGCGGGCAUAUCGGUGCUGAACUUCACAGGCAAGGGUUUCGACUACGUUGAUUGCGCGAACAACAAGCUGACCAUCGGGGGCGUGCGAUGCAGCAUCAUCAAAUGCCAGCCUAAUAUGCUGACGGUAAUUUACCCUGGCAACAAUGGGGCGAACGCCGCCGCAGCAUCCGUAACGGCGGAGGUCUACGAAAAAGGGCAGUUAAUAGAUUCAGAUACACCCUCCGGCCUGACAGUCAGCGUUUCAAGCUCAGCACCGUCCAUCAGCACUGUAUCACCUGCACGCCUGCCGGGUGCAGGCGGUGUAAUCACAUGGUCUCUUACUGGGGCGACAGCAAGCCAGGUGAUCUCCGCGUCCAUGGUGCCGUUCAUCUCCUCUUUCACCAACUACACGGAGGCCUCGGUAGCCUUCCAAGAGCCAAUACCGUGCACUGACGUCACAGCAGGCAGCUCAGGCACCUUGACGUGCAUCAGCCCGGCCCUGCGCAACGGCCGUUACCACAUCCUCGCAGUUCUGUCCUCGGGCUUGCAGCUAUUGUCGUCCGAUACUAUCCUUUUCGAGCUCUUCAUCACCAGUGUCUCACCCAAUCUGGGAAGCAUCGGCGGCGGCACUACCCUUACCAUCACAGGUUCGGGUUUCAGCCAAGUGGUAUCGGAGAAUGUCGUUUUCAUUACCGUUCCAGUUUCGACAACAUUUCUUAACGGUGUUGUCCAAUGUAUAGCAACAUCGGUCACAUCAACCACCUUGACGUGCAAGACGCUUCCAAACCUGGCCGCUGACGCGAGCGCUAAUGAUCCUUUUGCCAAGCAAGUGAUGCCCGUGGACACCACCCCUGGACGCGCGGUUUCCGUUGUUAUCUGCGACUCCAGCUACAACUCAAGCUUCUUGCAGGAGUAUUGCUGGUCACUGCCAGAGACGGCCCGGGCGCGGUGCGAUGCAGCAGGUGCCGCCACAUGUAAUUUUGGGUAAGUCAUCUAUCGCUUGUGGCUAGUGGCCUAGAUUUCCUUACUUAAAAACAUCUUUACGUGGUCCAUUUCUCUGCAAACAGGUACUCGACCGAGCUGACACCUGCUGUGGACUAUCUGUACCCGAGCAGCGGGAGCCUGGGGACUCGCAUCACAGUCGUGGGCAGCUACCUUAACAUGGUGACCGAGGUCCAGUUCCUGCAGGGUGGCGUGCUCAAGGGCGCCGGGAGUAACAUUAUCUCAAGCCGCACGAACGUGUCCUGCGAUGCUCCCGAUCUGCCACCGGGUGUUUACACGAUUCUCCUGCUCAAGGCGAACGGCGAGAAGUCCGUGGAUCCGUAUGGCAAAGGUACCUUUACCUUUACGGCCUCAAUCGACAGAUUAACCAGGAAUGUGGGGUCGCUUGCGGGUGGGCUGCCGCUGGUGCUUUCAGUUGGCGGCGCCGGCCUGGCCGUCGGUCCGGACAACUUGACCGCCAAUGCGAUAACGAUUGCUGACUUACCUUGCCCCAUAUUGUCGGUCAAGAACCGCACGGAAGUGACCUGUCGUGCGCCAGGCAUGAACGGCUACGUGUUUGCUGAGUACUGGAAUUUGGGAGUGUCAACAUCCUCCAUGCCCGACAUCUUCAGCUUCACAAAGCCCCGUAAGCUUAUACAUCUUUGUUAUGCUACGGGGUACUCUAUGGUUUGCUUACUGGAACUAGGGCCGCAUGCGGGCAUGACGUGUUUCUGCAAGCAUGCAUUAAGCUGGACUGGGUUUUGUUCGUACUUCGAGCGCUACAUACCCAUCAAAUGCGUUAGCUCAUGCGUCGCCUGGCUCAGCACUCAAAAUCCUCUUCUCUUCCACGUACUCCAAUGAUUGUUCGCUGAUGACGAUGACCGCUGCCAUACUUCGCACGCAGAUAUUUCCCGGAUUGAGAAAGGGACAUCUUUCUCGUGGGGUACCAUGUCGCCAGAGCCGGGCGUGAUCAACUUUGAUUACUGGGCUGCUCGCUUUACCUUUUACUACCAGGUCUGUUUGCACUGCUUGGGUCAGAAUCCUACUGCAAGGACUCAUAUAAGUUAAUUGUGUACGUGACCGUUACACUGCUGUGCAGAUUUCUGUAACGGAGAACGUGACCUUCUACAUGUAUGCUGAUGAUGAUGCACGCCUUUACAUCGACGAUGUCCUGGUUGGCGGUCGCAAUACCCCACUGGACACGAUUCUGUACCCUGGCCUGCGCAAAUUGGUCGUCACGCACGUGGAGUAUAAUGGUGGGGCUUAUCUCUCUGUGGUGAUCUCGAGAAGGCAACCUAAUGGAGCGCGCGGACCCUUCGCUUACUUGGAGUGGCAGAAGGUUACACCGGUACCUCCAGGAACGCCACUGCCAGUCAAGCUUACAGUCAACGGCAUUGACUCCGUGACACAGUGUCCCGUCACCAACCUGACACUUGUUCUGCCAGGCCAGCCGAAGGCGCCGUUUGAGCCGUCGUGGGUGCAGACGCCCAACAGAACAUGCUCUUAUGUGUACUCAGUUUAUCGCACACCGUCACUGUCAGCAUUGAGCGGGAUUACGUUGAGUGGCAUCAUGCAGCCCACCUUCAACAGCACCAACACAACCUUGAGCAUCUUUGGCGAUUUCCUGACGGACCCAAGCCUACCCGCCGCGUCCCAGAUCAGCGUCACUCUGGCCAACCGGCUGUGCAGCAUUGUUGGUGUCGCACCGGUGACGGUCAACGGCACCAACACAACCAAUAUCAACUGCACGGCGCCCGCCUUGCCGGCUGGGCAGUGGCCUGUUAGUAUUAUGGUUGAGGGCCUGGGUCUUACACGCCCCACAGCGACAGCUGCGACGGACUUGCCAAUCGUAACCUAUACGGUCAGGGUUCUUAGCUACACCUUUAACAACCCCAACUCCAAGUGCUAUUUCUCCCUGUUUGGUGGCGGCACCUUCAACAUCACCGGGUAUGGGUUUGUGAAGGACUUGGUCGAUACGACACUUCAAGUCAACAUGACGGCUGCGUGGGAAACCGUCUUUUGUGGC